rnacentral:lncRNA from 1 species
CGAAAUUUGACAUAAUUUUUGAAAUUUUGUGGAACAAUGACAUAUCACAGAAACAUACUUAAUUGAAGGCAAACUAUAGCAAUCCAGAAUUCAAUCUAGAUUGACGAAUCAGGAGUAAAGAUUAUAGUCUACCAAUCAUAACUUAGGUUCUACAUCCAGGCCAAUCCGUAGCAUAGUUUAACUACAUCCAAGAUCACAGCAAAAGAACAUCCAUCCAAAUGAAUUGUCCACAACUAGUCCUGGACAACAUUUCAUGCAUCCCACAAAAUAACAUUCAGAGUUCUCAUACACCACAAAAUGCAACCAGAAGCUUCCUUCUUCCAUUCUUGUGUCAUUUCUUCACUGGACAGCAACCUUGCGACCACAUACGAUGCUCCAAAUGCUUCUACAAAUGCCAAAAUGAUGGUGUAUUAAGUCAAUCAAUAUUACAAGGUAAAGUGGGCUGAUGCAAUCAUUUGGCAAUUUAUGAAGCUAUGAAUUAUUUGGAUUAAUUUCCACUACAAUGACAUUCCUCGUGGUUGUACGAAUGCUAGAAUUAGCAAUCUGUAGGUAAACUUGCAACGCCUAACCAAAUAUAAUACUAGUAACUUUGAAAAAAAAACAAACUUGCUAGCAUUCCUAACCAGGUCCAAUGAACUUAGAACUGUGUCAGCAAAAAGAAACAGUUAGCACGCCCCAUGCAACUUUCAGCAAACAAAAACCUUGCCAGAAAUGUUUGGGCAUUACCGAAAUGCGAGGAUUACUACAAUACUGAAACAGCUUACCUAUGAACUUACCUAUGAACUUACCUGUCAAUUGUAAAGGCUCGUCAAGUCCUUCAGCUUCGUGCUUUGCUUUCCUCGUCGAGACCUACGGCAGUUCAGCAAACCUCCAUCAUUUCUUUCCUCAACCUCGUUUCCAUCUUGGCUUGGUUGAUCUUUUUCAACUCGGGUAGUUGAAUCUUCUCCAUCAGCUUCACUUGCGCUAUCAUCUCCGCAUUCAUCCUCAUCAUCAAUGUCUAUGUACUCAUCUUCUUCUUCAUCAUCAUCACAAUCAAUGUAGUCAUCCUCAUCUUCUUCCAAUACUCUCUUCCUUUUCGUUCCAUUGCCCUUCCUUCCAAGAUGAGAGGAUUUCUUGCUUGAGUUAAGGCGACGUAUUUCCUCGAACACGGCGCUAGCAGCAUCAGAUCCAUCCAAGAUUACAUGUUCCUCAUCCUCAUUCAACCACUCCAUCAUUGGAUUAGCCUCAUCAAACAUGGUUGUAUUCAUCAUCAUUGCACAUGGAUCAACCUCCUUAUAUUUAUCAUUCUCUCUCACCCGGUCCUUGUCUUCUUCAGCACGUAUCUUCAAAGGUGUGAAAACAAAAUCAGUAAAUAACAGCAACGUAAACAACAAUGUUUUCUAAGAAAAUGGAGGAUCAUGGUCUCAACACACAAGAGAAUUUUAUACCUUCAAGUUGUGGCGAACGGAUACAAACUUGUGCAGCUUGCCAUAUAAUAGACGAUUCCUUUGUUUCGUGUGGACCAAGGCCCAAGCGCUCCAGUUCCUUUCACAUCCACUUGACGACACACAUUGGGAAACAAUUCUCAAGGCAUACUUCUGCAGAUUGGGAACGUCCCCUCCAAACUGAAACCACCACUCGGCUACCACCAAAAAACAAUGAGAUUAACGAGUUGCAAAUUGGAGGAAAGUGCGACUAAGGAUCUGCAAGCAUUGUAACUUACUUGGUGACAUUUUUUCUGCUGAAAUGUGUGCGACCCAUUGACCAAACCUUCCACGACAUUCCCUAAAAGCGCUGAUUUCAUAAAUGGCCAAAGCAGCACUAUCAGGGUCAGCUAUCUUCUCUAUCGCAACUGUUAGUGCAGAAGCGAAUUCCGGAAUAUUGCUCAGAUUGACCACAUAAUGUGUGUUUGGAUCAAGGACAGCAGCUGCAUAAGAAAAUAACAGAGGUUAUAAACCAUGAGAAAAAAGCAAGGUAAACAUUUAUUUUAGUAGUUUAUCACUACCUGCAACCAUUAGAGUAUCCUUUUCCAUGGCCUCAAUCCUAUUGGACACCUUGCUCAUGACUCUACGAAGCAUUUCUGACCCACCACCAAGACGAGAUUCCAAAGUUUGUACAGCUGUCAUCAUGCUCUUCUUGAAGCCAGACAAGGUGCAUUGCUUUUGAGUAUCAGCGUACCUAAGGGCUUUAUAAAGUGGCUCUAACAGAUUAAGAACCCACUCCAAGGCAGCCCACCACAUAUUACUAGAUAGUAAUGCCUCGGAAAACACAUAAUCAGCAUCCUUCCUCCAAAUACUUUUCUUCCAAUCAUCAGAUACCAUCCAUUUCCUAAAUUGAUCCUUCUUUUCAUGAUAACUCUCAAGGAACAUGAACACCGUACCAAACCGAGUGGCAUUGGGUUUUAUCAGUUCACCGCCAACAUUCUUUUUCAUGCUAUCAUGCAGGUUAUUGUGAUUAUGAAAAAACCUACAGAUUUGCUUGGCACUUUUAACUAUCACAUCAACUUCCGGAAACUUAGCAAUAUCUUUAAGCAUGAGGUUGAUUGUAUGGGCAGCACAUGGUUGCCAAACAAUAUGGUUGUACUCCGGUUGUUCUACAAGAGUUUUACAAGCUUUUUUAUAAUUUGAACCAUUGUCGGUUAUAAUUUGAACCACAUUCUCAUGUCCUAUCUCAUCAACAACAACCUUUUUAAUCUGUCUAUAGAUAAAUUCUGCAAAAUUUUACCACAAAAGUAUAAGUAACCAUAUUUAACAAGUAAAGAACGUAUAAACAUAAGCAACAGUAAUUAACAAGUACAAAAACAGAAAAGGAUGAGCAACCAAAAUCAACAAGUAAAAUUACAGAAAAGCACAAGUAGACAUAAUCAACAAGUAGAAAACGGAAAAUCAUAAGUAGACAUAAUUAACAAGAAAAAGAAAGCAUAAGUAACUAGAUUACCAUAGUUAACAAGUGAAAAACACUAUGCAAGAGAACGAAAUAAACAAUUUUCAUUUCAAUAGAAAACUAACCAGAAUUUUGAGUUUGACCAUAAGCAUCAAUGGAUUUAUGGAAAAACAUUUUUUCAUUGCAAUACACCAUGAAGUUGAUAACACUCAUGCCAGUCGGCCCAGUCCAUGAGUCACACAUCACGGUAACACCAAAGUUCUUCCAAUCUUGUUUGAAAAUCUUCAGCCACUCCACAGCUUCAUCAUAGUUCUUGUCCAGAUAUAUCCCAUCAAUCUCCUUGGCAGUUGGGAGAGGAAUUGGGCCAAGCUUUUGAGUGAUCUUCAUUGCUGCCCGAAAGUAUGGACAGUCAGCUUUCAGACCAGCAAUAUCAUUUGCGUGAAAUUUUUUUGCCCAAGAUUGGCCGAGUACAUCUCUUGACUCAAGAUCGAAAGAGGUGGUAAUCUUGGGCUGCAUUGAUACUUUGUUGCUCGAUAACUAGAUACGCUGAAUCAAGCCGGACCGCACCAUUUGCUCAGCAUCGAGCUAUUUUUCUUGCCACAGUCGUCGCCAUCUCGCCGUCGUCGUCGUCUCUUCGGUUUGCCCCGCACUCCCUAACCACGUCCACGAGCUCCGCGGUGAGCUUCUCCCCCGAUUCCCCCUUUCCCCCUUCGAUUUGUAUGCCGUAGGCCGCCAUCACCGUCGUGCCCGAACCCCCGCGUACGCGUACAUGUAGCUGCUGCUCCUGUGCUGUUGCUGUACGCGCGCGCUCGCGCGUGGCCUCGCCACGGCUUGCUGCUGCUCGCCUCACUGCACCUGUUGCUCUGCUUGUUGCGAGAUGCUGCCACCACGUGCUUCCCCAACACUCCUGCCGCCACUCGUGCCGUACGGUGCUGCUGGCUGCUUCUGCUAUUGCGCUCCGGCUGCCGCUACUAUCGCGCGCUCGACGUUACCCCGUCCGACCGUGACCCGUAGCGCCCUGACUGUGCCAAGUGUGCACACCCGCAGCCCCCAUUGCGACAUGCUGCUCCGCCUCCUACUUUACUGUGCUACCGCUGCUCCUUGCUACCUGCUGCUGCCGUUGUUUGUUGCUUGUCGCUGCUGCUCUGUCCUCCUGCUGGCUGUUGCUACUGCUGCAUGCAGGCUGCUGCUUCGUUGGCUGCUGCCUCCUGCUGCGCGAUGUUGGGCCAUUUUUUUUUGGCUUUUUUAAGAUUAUAGAAUAAGCUGUCCUCUAUCCAGCUUAUUCUAGAAGCCCAAUCAAAAAUAGUUUUUUAGAAGCUUAUUAGUCAAGUCUUAAUUAAUAGACUUCUCAAUAAAUAAAUUUGAUAGAACUUCUAAAAUAAGGCCCUGUUUAGAACAACACAGAUUAUAUAAUCUAUUUUGUCUUCAAACAUGACAGAUUAUGGUAUAGAUUAUAAAAACUAGAUCGACAGAUUAUUAAAAACUCAUAAUCUACUUUACAUCAGUUAAAAUCAGAUUAUGGAUUGCUAAUGACCAAUUACCCUUGUAAAGUUGGAGAUAAUUACAUUCCUAUCACCGUCACCCUCUUUUAAAAAAAAAAAGAGGACGGACAGGUCAUUAUGCAAUGUAUAACCUGAAUUAUAAUUUAUAUAAUCUGACAUUCAAACAUGCCUACGUAGAUUAUUUUUAUAAACCAGAUUAUAUAAUCUAUCUUCAUAAUCCAAAUUAUCAUAAUCUAUUGUGGUUUUAAACAAUGCCUAAGCUGGGUAGAAGAUAGUUUAUUUCAACUUAUUCUAGAAGCCAGUAAAAGAACUGACCCUAACACACAUCUGCAGCUGUUGCUGCCUUUGGUGCUUCGCUGCUGCUUGCCACUGCUGCCGCUGCUCUGCUGCCGCUGCUCUGCUAUGUUCUAGCUGUUGCUGUCCCUGCAGCUGCCACCAGCUCUCAAGCUCACCUCGGCCAUGUCCAUGGCCGUGUGCCUAGUGGCUGCUGUGCGUGUUAUGCAUAGCCAAGUGCACGUAUGUGCCUCUCGCACAUGUGGCCUGCCAAUUAAUUAGUGAUAAUAUAGUUUAGUUUAGUUUAGAUUAUUGUUUAGUUGGCCUGAUGUAUCUAUGACAUGUGGGCCACUCCCUGUUAGUUAACUCAACUAAAUUGACUUGAUAUCCUGAGUCAAUGACACCUGGGUCCUACGAGCCACUAUUCACUCGUUGACUAGUCAACGUUGCCUAUUGAAUGGGCAGUCAACAUGCCCCACAUGUCAUCCUCUCUGCCUAUAUACCCAUUGGGUACACUUAGCAUUUCCUUUUAAAUUUGAAUUUAAACAACUCUAUAAAAUAUUUAAAAACUUUGAAAAUUCAUAUAAAAUAAACCGGAACUCAGAUGGAAAUAUUUCAAACAUGAAAGUUGCCCAGAAAAAUCCUGCGAAUCCGGAUACGCUAUCCGUUCAUCUCUCAUACCCCUCUAACACGAUGAACAUGGAAAUUUGGUGUUAGGAUCACGUGUCCGGUAGAAGCCUCACACCCGGGAAAUAUCACCAGAUAUUUCCCCGCUCUGUCGGUGACACAUAGUAUUGUGUUAGCUCAUCCCUAGCACUGCUUUUUGCCAUGUCAUGCAUCGUGUUGCAUACUCAUGACCCACAAAUAUAGGGAUCAAUCAUAGUUCUUUCGAUAAGUAAAAGUGUCGAACCCAACGAGGAGCACAAGGAAAUGACAAGUGAUUUUCAGUGAGGUAAUUUCUGCAAGCACUGAAAUAGCGGAACAAGUUGUUUGACAGCAAGAUAGUUGUAACAAGUAACUAGUAGCAAGAAUAACAAUAAGUGCAGCAAGGUAGCCAAUUCCUAUUGUGGCAAAGGCAGAGCAUUCUUGAGGGCAUACGAGAAUUUCAUCUAGUCACUUUCACCAUGAUAGCUUAAUUCAUGUUCGAUAGUUUGGUAGUUUGAUAUGUAGGUGGACCGGUGCUUAGGUGCUCUUCUUACUUGAACAAACCUCCUACUUAUGAUUAACUCCAUCGCAAGCACCCGCAACUACGAGAAAAGUAUUAAGAUAAAUAUGUAAUCAUAACAUUAAACUUUUGGAUCCAAAUCGGUCCCUUACGAAGUAGUGUAUAAACUAGGGUUUAAGCUUUUGUCACUCUAGCAACCCAUCAUCUAAUAACUAAUCCACAAUACAUUCCCCCCAAAUAUGGUGAAGUGUCAUGUAGUCGACAUUCACAUGACACCACUAAGCGAAUCACGACAUACAUACCAUCAAAAUAUUGAACACAUAUCAAGUUCACAUGAUUACCUGCAACAUGACUUCUCCCGUGGCCUCAGGAAACAAAACUAACAACUCACAAAUGAUAAACAUGCUCAAAAUCAAAGGAGUAUUAAUUUGCAUAAAGGAUAUGAACAUUUUGUCUUCCACCAAAUAAACCAUAUAGUAAUCAACUACAAGAUGUAAUCAACACUACUAGCCCUUCACAACCAACAUUCUAAGGUUCCGGUGCAAAGAUUGAACACAAGUGAUGAACUAGGGUUUGAGAGGAGAUGGUAUUUUUGAAGAUGUUGAUGAAGAUUGUCCUCCCCAAGAUGAGAGGGUUGAUGGUGAUGACGAUGACGAUGACGAUGAUUUCCCCCUCCGAGAGGGAAGUUCCCUCGGUGGAAUCGCUCCGUAGGAGGGUAAAAGUGCUCCUGCCCAAGUUCCGCCUCGAGACGGCAGCGCUUCGUCCCGAAAGUCCUCCUCUAUAUUUUUUUAGGUGAAAACCAAAUAUAUACCAGAAGGGGGGGCAUCGGAGGUGGGCCGGGCUGAGCACCACCAACUAGGGCGCACUUGAGGGGCCUGGUGUGCCCUGGUGUCUUGUGCUUACCAGGUGGCCCCCCUCCGAUAGCUCUUUUCUGUAGUAUUUUUGGAUAUAUUCCACAAAAAUCUCCGUGAACUUUCAGCUCAUUUGGACUUGUUCAGAAUAGGUAACUUGACAUAGCUUUUCCAGGUCCAAAUUUCCAGCUUCCGGUAUUCAUCCCUUUUGUGCAAACCUUGAUCGUUUGUCCUCAAACAAAAAACCGAAAUGUAAAUACAUGUCCACAUGCUUAGAGAGAGGAGUCGAUAAAAACAAAAUAUGGACAUAGAAGCAUCAUGCAUAUUAUCAUAACAACAAUAAACUUAAUCAUAACACUUCAUAACAGAAUUUUAUCAUAUGACUUCUCAUGAACAAGUAACGAUUCAUCACAAUAUCGAAGUAGAAGCAUAAACUUUAUUGAAAACCAACAAACUAUGUUCUCAGUCAACUUUGCAAUUAGAAUUCAUGCUCUUUUCUGGAUGGGUCUCAUGUGGAAGCCUUUUGGCAAGUCCACAUGCUCAAGCAUCAAAUCAUCUUCUAUGAUUGCUAACACUCACCACAUGCACAUGAGCAAAAAAAUUCAACCAGACACAUAGAAAGAUACGGGCUUUUAGUUUCGCCUCCCAAUGCUGUCAACUUUGCAAUUAGAAUUCAUGCUCUUUUCUGGAUGGGUCUCAUGUGGAAGCCUUUUGGCAAGUCCACAUGCUCAAGCAUCAAAUCAUCUUCUAUGAUUGCUAACACUCACCACAUGCACAUGAGCAAAAAAAUUCAACCAGACACAUAGAAAGAUACGGGCUUUUAGUUUCGCCUCCCAAUGUGUUUACCUCAAGGGUGAUGUCAACAAUAAUAACUCAUGGUCACCCAUAUUCAACUGGUAAUAUAUGUGUAAUGCCCCAAGAGUGUAACUUGCCUUAUGUGGAACUAUCUGUAUGUGGGUCCAUCUGGUCAUUGAUAUGAGAGUUAUAUGCAUGUGUUAUUUCAUGUGAUGCUUCCCUUGUCAUGUUUUCUUUUGCAUGCAUGCAUCCCUAUCAUUCCAUGUCUUGUGUUUGUUGCCUUGUGAAUCCAUGUGAUGUAGGGUAUGUGAUGUGAUGACAGGUGUUGCUAAGUGAUAUGUUGUUGAGUAGUGCAUUUGAAAGUAGGGAGCACUACGUUGGUUGCUUCUAGGUUUCAAAACUCUUCCUCUUUAUUUAUCUCAAAGUCAAUAUUCACUUUGCCCAUCCUUGAUUCAAAAGUGCCCAUGUUUUAGUACGUUUUGUGGUGGAUGUGAUGAUAUGCAUUUAGUGUUUUGAGGCUGUGUUUUAGUGGUGCAAAUAAUCACAAAACAUAUCCAUUAAUUCUAUUUUGUAAAUAUUUACAUGCUCCAAAAAUCCCUUUUUAUUUUUAUUCAAAUAGGUCAUAAUUCCUUAUGACCACGGGUAUUUUUGCUUUAAUUUUUAGCAUCAACAGUUAUCCUGUGCAUUUAUUUUUGUUUCUUGUGUUGGUUUUAAAUAAGAAACCCCAGUGGGUUUUUUUCCUCUAUCACGCGCCAGCAUGGGCCUCUUUCUCCCUCCCGAGGCCCAUCUUCCUCUUUGUUUCCUAGUGAGAGCCCAAGUGCGCUCCUUCUUCUUCUCCUAACGGCGUUUCUUCCCCUCGCGCAUGCUUUUCGUCAGAGACUCCAGUGAGAGAGCGAGCGACGCCGUGAGGCUCACGGACGUCGAGGCCCAUAGAUUCCUCGGCAUGCGUGCCCCCUUUGGCCUAGGGUUUCGCGUCCCCCUCCUAGCUCCGCCACUUUUCCCCUCCAUCUCCUUCUUCCUCCCCAAGGUAAGAUCUGUGGAGGUAGCAGAGGGUAGAGCAGUGCGCCGCCGUCGUCCGUCAUGCGUCCCUCAUCUCCGACACCGGCCAGCAUGUCAGGGAGCUCGGGGAAGGCCCCCGCGUUCCAUUCCCGUCAUCGGUGAGGCCGGGAAGCGACCACACCGACGGACAGUUCCUCCUCUCCGACGAGCUCCCGGCGGCCCCAUCCCUGCUUCGGUUCUGCAACAGGUCUUCUUCAGUCUUCUUCAGAUCGGCUCCGAUUCUUCUUUAGGCUGCCUCCUCCGACCGACACCCUCUCCAAUCCUUCAUGUCGGUGAGCCUAGCACCUUCCUCCCUUCCCCCUCUGUAGAUGCGCCUAGAUGCUCGUGGCCGCGCUUCUCUGUUCGGAGAUGUGUUCGGCAGAUCAUGUGUGGAUGAUGGUGUGGUGUUGUGCUCGUCCCGAUGCUAGUUGCAGUUGCUCCAUCGCGGUUGGAGUAGGUAGCGUAGAUGUUCCCCUCUGGCGCAGCAGUGGAAUUAGGAUGCCUCUCCAGUGAGCGACACUGCCAGCAUCUCUGUGCAGAGCAGAGCAGGGCAAUCUAUGCGUAUGUGUUUUACCUAGUUUGGUGCCCCUGUUAGUCCAAGUUCCUCAGCACAACAGAGUGGCAGCAGGCGAUUUUGCAUCUAGCGCGUCGCGGGUUCGAGUCCCAGUGCAGCACCCCUUUUUAAUUGUUGUUUUGGGCAGUAGCUCGACACGCAGGUCCUUCUUGCGCUAUUCCCCCUUCUCUGUCGUAGAAGGGUUGCUAGCCCAGUGGUUUUAGCUGCUGGUAGUGAGCAGGGACUCUUGGGUUCGAACCCUCCCCCCAUUCCUUUUAUUUUUUUGUUGCAUUUCUUUUGCCGUGUACUAUUGCUUGCUAUAUUAUGCUGCAGCUGCUUGAGAAGCAAGGUUUGCUUGCAAAAUGUUAUUCCAGCAUGUUGCCUAGUCAUGGUAUUGCUAGUAUGUGUAGUGAUGAUGGUGUAGGCUUUGUGGCAUGUUUAGUGUGGUGUUUGUGCAUGUGUAGGCCUUGUGUGCAAGUGUAGGUUUGAUCUAGCCCAUGUAUGUGUGUGUGUAUCAUGUGUGUGUUUUGCACUAGGCUAGAGUGGUGCAUGGUGUGGUUACUCUUGUGCAUAGGUGAUAAGCUUAUGCACUAUGAUGUGCAAGUGUGUGGGUGUGUGUGUCUGUGGGUUCACCCCCCACAUACUUUGUGGUGUAGGAGUAGUUGUUCUUAUGUGUGUGUGUGUGCCACACACAUGCCCAAGGCAUGAUGUGCCUUGAUGAGCACAUGAGCAAGCUAGUAUGUGUAGGUGUAGGAAUGCAUAUGUGAGUGUAAGCUAAGGUGUGUGGAUAAUUAGCAUGUGUAGGUGUUUAUUAUAUGUGGUGCUUGAUGCAUGUUUGUGUGUGGUGGUGUGCUAAGGCACAUGAGCAUGAGGUAUACCCCUCAUGUGCACCAUUGGAUAUGUGAGUUUGUGCAAGUGCAUGUGAAGUGAUGUGCUAGUGGAAGCACAUGUGAUGCUGCACUAUUCACCUCAUGUGAUUCCAUGUAGAUUUUCCUUUCAAGUUUGUGCCCUUUUGUUCUAUGCAAGUGCCUAUGUAUUAUAUAUGUUUUUGGGGUAGAAUCAUCCCAGAAAUCAAAUGGUGGGUUCAGAUUCCACUUUGGAACACUUUCUGGGAAUGUCACAUUCCUGUUUCGUUCAAUGUUUAGAGCUUGGUUCCAUGUGAUGUUAUGAGCCCAAGAGGUUGAUUCCUUGUUGUGGCAUUAGAGGGUGACCCCCUCUAUAGCAUGUUGGUUUUUUUUCAUGCUUAGUAGUUCAUAUGUGCAUGUUGUGCCUAGUCAAAGUAGGCAUGUGGCUGAAAAUUCCAGUUUAGUGAAAAUCUGUGAUUUUCACUAAGUCUGGGAAUCUGCUUAUAUUUUCUUCUCCUGUUGUUGUGCUUGUAGAAGUCCAUGUGUUGGGAAUAAGCCCUGGCUAUCAACUGUAAAGUUGUAGAUUUUGUGUUUGACUAGCUCUUUGUCAAUUUUCAUUCCAUUUGGAUUCAUGUAGCUAUUGUUUUGGGUGUUGUCAAAAUGCUCGAGAGCAUAAACAACUAGUGAGAAUCUGAAAAUUUCACUAAGUCCGUGAAAACUGAUAUUUUUGGCCAAGUUAGUGGCUGUAGAACUUUCUGUGUGUAACUCUUUUGUAUUAUCUUUUUGCUCAUGCUUGUAGAGAUUUUGAAUAGCUUCUGCCACAUAUCUUAUUUGGCAUAUUUGGGUGGUUGUAGGUGCUUUGCAUGUAGCUCUCAAACUGCUAUGUUGCUGUUUGUGACAGAUUGUAUAGUUUUGAUGUUUUGAUGCUUGUGAGUGCAUAGUUGAUGGUCUGGUGAUAUUCCUUGCACCACCCAUCCAUACUUGUUUGUUUUGUGAUAUGGAAACCUGGGAAUACCAGAAUUAUUCCAUUGGAGUGUGUUGUGAUGGAUUUGAUCCGUAGGACUCAAUUUCUUGUUUCGUUGUUUCCGGUUGAUCCGUUGCCCCGUUCGUAACGUUCUUUAUAUGUUUUUGCAUCGUUUUCGCGUGACACAUUUGUUCAUGUCAUUCUCAUGCAUUUCUAGGUAGCUUAGAGUGAAGUUCUGUCCAGGAACUUGUAUUUUCUUCUCAGGCAUGUGCAGGUGACUAGAAUAGAGAUGCAUGUUCAUUUUCAUCUCAUGCAUCAUGUGCUUGUUGCAGCUUGUGGUGAUGUUGUUCAUUGGAUGCUAUUUUUUAUGUUGGGUAGCACUGGGAUCGGAGAACGAGUACGUGGAUCUGAGAGAGUACGUGCAGGACGAACAAGAGCAGUUCCAAGCUGAGGACAUCAUAUGCAAGAUGAUAUGACCUUGGUUCCAUCUCUAGACUUGUUAUGCUAGAUUCACGUUUCUUUCAUCAUACGCUCGCUGCCUACCACUGAAAUAAUUGCCUCCUGAUAUUGCCAUGAAACCCAAACACUUAUCCCUUCCUAGCAAAUCUUGAAUGGCUAAGUGGGCUUUGUCAGCUACUAAUGUUAGCGUUGCUAGUUGCAGGUGCAUUUGUCUCAUGUGAUAACAUGACCUUGAUAUGAUUAUGUUAAAUCUGGUAUUUAAUUAAUGCACCUAUAUACUUGGUAAAUAACGGAAGGCCUAGCCUUUUGCCGGGUGUUUUUCCGUUAUUGCCGCCACAGUUUCCGGCUACCGGUGUUUGAUUCCAUAAUGAUCGCUCCUAACACGUUCGGGGUUGUUAUGGGGACCCCCUUGAUAAAUCGUGUAGUGUUAAGACUUGUAUGGCAGGAUCCAACAUUGGUGUUAAUUUUAUAAUCACUUAAUAAUAAUCUGCAUCAAGAAUAGCUACCCCGAGGAAUUUAAUCAACAACCUGGGCCAGUGCUCCUCAUGAGUGUUGGUCCAAACUGAGCACUGUUCGGGGCCAACUCAGGGCAACUUGAGUGAUUUCUAUCAGGCCAUCGUGCGCGUAGCUCAUCCGUCAUGUCCUCAAACUGAGAUAGGCGGCUCUUAUCGGGGUUGUCGACACGACGGGAGGUCCUGCUAGUCUUGUCUUACCUUAGCGAUAUAUCUUGCGUAUAGGAAUCACGGUGAAGCUUUGGUUCUCCCCAGAGUUGAGGUUUUCCUCUAAGGAAUCCGACGAGAUCACGAGAUUCGUGAUAGAGGAUUACUUUGCGGCCCGUGACCAUUUGUGAUGGACUAGUUGGAGCACCCCUGCAGGGUUUAAUCUUUUGGAAAGCCGUGCCCGCGGUUAUGUGGCAACUUGGAAUAUUUGUUAACAUCCGAUUAUAGAUAACUUGAACCUAAUCUAAUAAAAUUGCCAACUGUGUGCGUAACCGUGACUGUCCCCUUCGAAGACCUCUCUUUGAUCGGGAAUACGGUGGGGUUAUGAUUGACAUAAGUAGGUGUUCAGGAUCACUUAGUGAUCAGCUAGUCAGCGACCGCUAGUAUAGACCAACUUCAAUACUUGUUCUACGUCAGUUAGCCACCAUAUAUGCUUAGGAUGCUGCAACCUAAACACUGAACCUUCCUUACCUAAUAACUUGACUAGUUCUGGCACCGAGGUCAUAGAUUGCUGAGUUCCCGUGGCUCAAAGAUUACUUCAACACACCAACAAGUACAGGUACGCCCGACACAGGUGAUCCCGAUGGCAUGCAGCUGGCGUGGCAGUACGAUGAGGAGAACGACCGUCUAUACGUGAACUAUCCAGAAGACUGAGGCGUGGUCGUGAUCAUGGGCAAGCAUGCAGGGUAGUAUAGCAUUUUCUCAUGUUAUGUAGUCCGUAGCGGAACUACCUUGUUUGAAUAAAUGCGUGAUGUAAACCCUGAUAUUAUUAUGAGAUGGCAGAUGAACCCCUAUUUGUCAUUCUAUUAUUAUGUAUGUGCUAUGUUAUCGUGCCUGCGAAACACUUAUAUGUGCUUCUUUCCUUUUGGGGCCUCGUUCCCUAAAUCGGAAAGGACCGCAUCUUAGUCGUUACAAUAUGUGCCUAGAUCUUUCCUCACCAGAUGGUGCUUGCAAAAAGAUAAGAAUAAAAACGAAUAGAAGAAAAUACUUUGACUCUUUGCAUGAAAAUAAAAGAUAGGCCCUUCGUAGAGGGAAGCAGAGGUUGUCAUGCGCUUAUUUGUUUGUAUGCUAAAUCCCUUACUACAAAAGAACAUCGCGUUAUAUUUCCCCUUAUGAUAGCAAACUUUAUUAUGCAGUCCGUCGCUUUUAUUACUUUGCCAUCACAAGUUCAUACAAUGCUCAAUUUUCUCUUACACUAAAUGAUCCAACACAUUUACCAGCAAUUUUUAUUGCCUUAUUGCACCGAUUACAAGUUACUUGAAGGAUCUUAAUCAAUCCAUAGGUAAGCAUGAUGGACUCUUUGGAAUAAAAUUUGGGUUUAAGGUCUUUUGGAUGCACAAGUAGUAUCUCUACUUAGUGCGGAAUUUUUGGCUAGAAAAUAUAUCGAGCAAGCACCACAUGUUAAAGGAUCCAUGAAAAUACAACUUAUAUGUGAAUAUAAGCAAGGAUAAAUAAUUACGUUGUCUUCCUUGUCCAAUGUCAACCGUUUCGGCAUAUAAUGGGGGGGGUUGAUGGGGGCUCACAAUCAUAAAAGAUGUCCAAGAUAGUAUAUUUGCAUGUGAAUCUUCUCUUCCCUUAUUAACUUUUUCAUGAGUUGCAUUAUUGAACAAUGCUAUGUUUUUCAAUCUCCAACAGAUUUUACUACUUAUACUCUUCCUUAUGUAAUGUCAUCUUGAUUUAUUUCAUUUCCUUUAUUUUGAUCUUAUUCAUUUAUUUCAUUUCCUUUAUUUUGAUUGCAACGUAGAACUAAAGAAGGCAAAACUUGAACUAAAUUUAUUAUAUCUUGCACACGAUUACAAAGAUAGAUCACUAAGCAAACACUCGAAAAGAAAGGAUCGGACUAAACUUUUUAUUCAACUAAAUCAUAGGAAUACUAAGGAUCGAACUAAAGUAGAUAAAAAUAAAUAUAGCGCCGUGAUACGAUACCGGGGCACCUCCCCCAAGCUUGGCUCAAGCCAAGGGUAGUGCCCAUACCAGAUACUCAAUCCUCCAUUGGUGGUGUAGAUGGAGUAAGAUUGUACUUCACUUCCAAGAGGUACUGCAUUCUACGAAUGUUGCUUUGGAGGGUGCUAUUGUACUCUUGCAACUGGAUAUUUUCAAGAGUGAGACAUUUAUUGUCAAUACGAACCAUUUCAAAGGAACGAAAGGCUUCGAUUUCAAUGGGGGUAAGGUGAUCAUAGUAGGGUGAAGGAUAUCUUCUUCUUCUUCUUCGAUCGGUGAGGCUUGCUCCCCCGCUUGAAUUUGCUCCACGAGACCCUCCUUGUCCUUGAUAUCUAGGAUGACUACCUUGGGUUCCUCCCUCUUGAGUUCUAUCUUCAUCAGCCAAACAUCUACUUCCUCGUUGUUGGUAGAGGGGCCAGUCAUGAUGUAUGGCCCUGUUGGGUCUGACAGAGAAACAGGAAGAAAGAAGAACAUGAGAUCUUUCUGCUGUACGGCGGUCAAUACGAUCAGGGAGCAUAUGUAGAUUUUUUAUCUUGGGAAACAAGCAGAAUGAGGGGAAACCGGAGUCGCGAAGGUGUGUGAGGUGGGCACCACCCACCUCGGUGCACCUUAGGAUCCCGGCGCGCCCUGGUGUCCUGUGCCCUCCACGGGUACCUUCCGAGUUGUUUCUUAUUUUCCUAAUUUUUGAUAUAUUCCAAAACUAAUUUAUAUAUUUAUUUUGUGGAUUUUUCUGAGUCUUUUUACUUACCGUACCACGUCCCUCCUAUUUUUCACGAUUGUGGAGUGUUCCGGAAGGUUUCCCUUAUGUGUUCCUCCGGUGUCAUGGUUUGAAUAAUAUUGCUUUCAACAUUAAUGGGCGUACCUGAGAUGUAGUGUUUAAUACUUUGACCAUUGACCACCUUUGGGUUAGUACCUUCAGCAUUAUUUAUUUUGAUAGGUCCAUAACUAAAAUUUCUUCAAUGAUAUAAGGUCCUUCCUAUUAAUAGAAGUUUUUCUGCAAAGAAUCUUAAACGAGAGUUAUACAAAAGGACAUAUUUUACCAUUUUAAAUUCUCGCUUUUGAAUUAUUUUAUCAUGCCAUCUUUUAACUUUUUCUUUAAAUAGUGUGGCAUUUUCAUAAGCUUGGGUUCUCAAUUCAUCUAGUGAGCUAAUAUCAAAUAACCUCUUUUGACUCGCAAGUUUGAAAUCAUAGUUGAGUUCUUUGAUUGCCCAAAAUGCUUUGUGUUUUAAUUGAAGAGGCAAAUGACAAGCUUUUCCAUAGACCAUUUUAUAGGGAGACAUACCCAUAGGAUUCUUAUAGGCUGUUCAGUAGACCAAAGUGCAUCAUCUAAUUUCUUAGACCAAUUCUUUCGAGACCUAUUGACAUUUUUUUGUAAUAUCAAAUUUAUUUCUCUAUUGCUAAGUUCAACGUGUCCACUAGAUUGAGGAUGAUAGGGUCAUGCUAUUCUAUGGUUAACAUCAUACUUAGCAAGGAUUUUACGGAAGGCGCCAUGAAUAAAGUGUGAACCACCAUCAAUCAUUAGAUAUCUAGGGACUCCAAACCUAGGGAAAAUAAUGGAAGUGUUAUGAUCAACACUACUAGUUGGAAUAGCGUCUACCCACUUACUAACAUAAUCAACAACAACCAAAAUAUGAGUAUACCCAUUAGAGGAAGGAAAUGGUCCCAUAUAAUCAAAACCCCAAACAUCAAAUGGUUCAAGAGCAAGUGAAUAAUUCAUAGGCAUUUCUUGACGCUUACCGAUAUUACCAAUUCUCUUAUAUUCAACACAAGAUAAAAGACACUUAUGGGAAUCCUUAAAGAGAGUAGGCCAAUAAAAACCAGAUUCCAAUACCUUGUGAGCAGUUCUAUCUCCUGCAUGAUGUCCUCCAUAAGCUUCAAAGUGACAUUUUCCGUAGGAUUUGUUCCUGUUCAUCCUCGGGUACACAACGUCUAAUAAUACCAUCUACUCCUUCCUCAUAAAGAUGUGGGUCAUCCCAAAAGUAAUGUCUUAAAUCAUGGAAGAAUUUUUUCUUUUGUUGGCAUGUGAAACUAGGUGAUAUAUAUUUGGCAACAAUAAAGUUAGCAUGGUUAACAUACCAAGGUGUGUUGUGAGAAACAUUUAUUGCAGCUAAUUGUUCAUCGCGGAAACUUAUUGGAAAUUUUCCCUAGAGGCAAUGAUAAAAUAGUUAUUAUUAUAUUUCCUGUUUCAAGAUAAUAGUUCAUUAUCCAUGCUAUAAUUGUAUUGAGUGAAAACAUAAAUGCAUGUGUGGAUAUAUAGACAAAACUAUGUCCCUAGUAAGCCUCUAGUUGACUAGCCAGUUGAUCAUGGAUGGUUAAGGUUUUCUAACCAUAUGCAAGUGUUGUCACUUGAUGACUGGAUCACAUCAUUGGGAGAAUGAUGUGCUGGACAAGACCAAAAAUAUAAACGUAGCAUGUGAUCGUGUCAUUUUGUUGCUAUUGUUUUCUGCGUGUCAAGUAUUCAUUCCUAUGACCAUGAUAUCGUGUAACUCACUGACACUUGAGGAAUACCUUUUGUAUAUGAAACGUUGCAACGUUACUGGCUGACUAUAAAGGUUCACUACAGGUAUCUCCAAAGGUGUCCGUUGAGUUAGGAUGGAUCAAUACUGGGAUUUGUCACUCCGUGUGACGGAGAGGAAUCUCAGGGCCCACUCGGUAAUACAGCAUCACAUAUAAGCCUUGCAAGCAAUGUGGCUAAAGUGUUAAUCACGGGAUAUUGUAUUACGGAAUGAGUAAAGAGACUUGCUGGUAAUGAGAUUGAAAUAGGUAUAGGGGUACCGACAAUCAAAUCUCGGGCAAGAAACAUACCGAAGGACAAAGGGAAUGGUAUGCGGGAUUAUAUGAAUCCUUGGCACAGAGGUUGAACCGAUAAGAUCUUCAUAGAAUAUGUAGGAUCCAACAUGGAAAUCAAGGUCCCGCUGUUGGAUAUUGACCGGGGAGUGUCUCAGGUCAUGUCUGCAUGGUUCUCGAACCCGCAGAGUCUGCACACUUAAGGUUCGGUGAUGUUUCGGUAUUGUUGAGUUAUAGGUGUUGGUUAACGAAGGUUUGUUCGGAGUCCCGAAUGAGAUCACGAAUGUCACGAGGGUUUCCGGAAUGGUCCGGAAAUGAAGAUUGAUAUAUAGGAUUGUUUAAUUUGGCCUCCGGAAAGAUUUUGGGCAUUUUUCUUUUGUUGGCAUGUGAAACUAGGAGGUAUAUAUUUGGCAACAAUAAAAUUAGCAUGGUUAACAUACCAAGGUGUGUUGUGAGAAACAUUUAUUGCAGCUAAUUGUUCAUCAGGGAAACUUAUUGGAAAUUUUCCCUAGAGGCAAUGAUAAAAUAGUUAUUAUUAUAUUUCCUCCCCCCCCCCCCCCGUUCAUUAUCCAUGCUAUAAUUGUAUUGAGUGAAAACAUAAAUGCAUGUGUGGAUAUAUAGACAAAACUAUGUCCCUAGUAAGCCUCUAGUUGACUAGCCAGUUGAUCAUAGAUGGUUAAGGUUUUCUAACCAUAUGCAAGUGUUGUCACUUGAUGACUGGAUCACAUCAUUGGGAGAAUGANGUCCCUAGUAAGCCUCUAGUUGACUAGCCAGUUGAUCAUAGAUGGUUAAGGUUUUCUAACCAUAUGCAAGUGUUGUCACUUGAUGACUGGAUCACAUCAUUGGGAGAAUGAUGUGAUGGACAAGACCAAAAAUAUAAACGUAGCAUGUGAUCGUGUCAUUUUGUUGCUAUUGUUUUCUGCGUGUCAAUUAUUCAUUCCUAUGACCAUGAGAUCAUGUAACUCACUGACACUUGAGGAAUACCUUUUGUGUAUCAAACGUCGCAACGUUACUGGGUGACUAUAAAGGUUCACUACAGGUAUCUCCAAAGGUGUCCGUUGAGUUAGCAUGGAUCAAUACUGGGAUUUGUCACUCCGUGUUACGGAGAGGUAUCUCAGGGCCCACUCAGUAAUACAACAUCACAUAUAAGCCUUGCAAGCAAUGUGGCUAAAGUGUUAGUCACGUGAUAUUGUAUUAUGGUAUGAGUAAAGAGACUUGCCGGUAAUGAGAUUGAAAUAGGUAUAGGGGUACCGACAAUCAAAUCUCGGGCAAGAAACAUACUGAAGGACAAAGGGAAUGGUAUAUGGGAUUAUAUGAAUCCUUGGCACAGAGGUUGAACCGAUAAGAUCUUCAUAGAAUAUGUAGGAUCCAAUAUGGAAAUCAAGGUCCCGCUGUUGGAUAUUGACCGGGGAGUGUCUCAGGUCAUGUCUGCAUGGUUCUCGAACCCGCAGAGUCUGCACACUUAAGGUUCGGUGAUGUUUCGGUAUUGUUGAGUUAUAGGUGUUGGUUAACGAAGGUUUGUUCGGAGUCCCGAAUGAGAUCACGAAUGUCACGAGGGUUUCCGGAAUGGUCUGGAAAUGAAGAUUGAUAUAUAGGAUUGUUUCAUUUGGCCUCCGGAAAGAUUUCGGGCAUUUUUCUUUUGUUGGCAUGUGAAACUAGGUGGUAUAUAUUUGGCAACAAUAAAAUUAGCAUGGUUAACAUACCAAGGUGUGUUGUGAGAAACAUUUAUUGCAGCUAAUUGUUCAUCAGGGAAACUUAUUGGAAAUUUUCCCUAGAGGCAAUGAUAAAAUAGUUAUUAUUAUAUUUCCUGGGGGGGGGGGGGGGUUCAUUAUCCAUGCUAUAAUUGUAUUGAGUGAAAACAUAAAUGCAUGUGUGGAUAUAUAGACAAAACUAUGUCCCUAGUAAGCCUCUAGUUGACUAGCCAGUUGAUCAUAGAUGGUUAAGGUUUUCUAACCAUAUGCAAGUGUUGUCACUUGAUGACUGGAUCACAUCAUUGGGAGAAUGAUGUGAUGGACAAGACCAAAAAUAUAAACGUAGCAUGUGAUCGUGUCAUUUUGUUGCUAUUGUUUUCUGCGUGUCAAUUAUUCAUUCCUAUGACCAUGAGAUCAUGUAACUCACUGACACUUGAGGAAUACCUUUUGUGUAUCAAACGUCGCAACGUUACUGGGUGACUAUAAAGGUUCACUACAGGUAUCUCCAAAGGUGUCCGUUGAGUUAGCAUGGAUCAAUACUGGGAUUUGUAACUCCGUGUUACGGAGAGGUAUCUCAGGGCCCACUCAGUAAUACAACAUCACAUAUAAGCCUUGCAAGCAAUGUGGCUAAAGUGUUAGUCACGUGAUAUUGUAUUAUGGUAUGAGUAAAGAGACUUGCCGGUAAUGAGAUUGAAAUAGGUAUAGGGGUACCGACAAUCAAAUCUCGGGCAAGAAACAUACUGAAGGACAAAGGGAAUGGUAUAUGGGAUUAUAUGAAUCCUUGGCACAGAGGUUGAACCGAUAAGAUCUUCAUAGAAUAUGUAGGAUCCAAUAUGGAAAUCAAGGUCCCGCUGUUGGAUAUUGACCGGGGAGUGUCUCAGGUCAUGUCUGCAUGGUUCUCGAACCCGCAGAGUCUGCACACUUAAGGUUCGGUGAUGUUUCGGUAUUGUUGAGUUAUAGGUGUUGGUUAACGAAGGUUUGUUCGGAGUCCCGAAUGAGAUCACGAAUGUCACGAGGGUUUCCGGAAUGGUCUGGAAAUGAAGAUUGAUAUAUAGGAUUGUUUCAUUUGGCCUCCGGAAAGAUUUCGGGCAUUUUUCUUUUGUUGGCAUGUGAAACUAGGUGGUAUAUAUUUGGCAACAAUAAAAUUAGCAUGGUUAACAUACCAAGGUGUGUUGUGAGAAACAUUUAUUGCAGCUAAUUGUUCAUCAGGGAAACUUAUUGGAAAUUUUCCCUAGAGGCAAUGAUAAAAUAGUUAUUAUUAUAUUUCCUGUUUCAAGAUAAUCGUUCAUUAUCCAUGCUAUAAUUGUAUUGAGUGAAAACAUAAAUGCAUGUGUGGAUAUAUAGACAAAACUAUGUCCCUAGUAAGCCUCUAGUUGACUAGCCAGUUGAUCAUAGAUGGUUAAGGUUUUCUAACCAUAUGCAAGUGUUGUCACUUGAUGACUGGAUCACAUCAUUGGGAGAAUGAUGUGAUGGACAAGACCAAAAAUAUAAACGUAGCAUGUGAUCGUGUCAUUUUGUUGCUAUUGUUUUCUGCGUGUCAAUUAUUCAUUCCUAUGACCAUGAGAUCAUGUAACUCACUGACACUUGAGGAAUACCUUUUGUGUAUCAAACGUCGCAACGUUACUGGGUGACUAUAAAGGUUCACUACAGGUAUCUCCAAAGGUGUCCGUUGAGUUAGCAUGGAUCAAUACUGGGAUUUGUACUCCGUGUUACGGAGAGGUAUCUCAGGGCCCACUCAGUAAUACAGCAGCACAUAUAAGCCUUGCAAGCAAUGUGGCUAAAGUGUUAGUCACGGGAUAUUGUAUUACGGUAUGAGUAAAGAGACUUGCCGGUAAUGAGAUUGAAAUAGGUAUAGGGGUACCGACAAUCAAAUCUCGGGCAAGAAACAUACCGAAGGACAAAGGGAAUGGUAUACGGGAUUAUAUGAAUCCUUGGCACAGAGGUUGAACCGAUAAGAUCUUCAUAAAUUAUGUAGGAUCCAAUAUGGACAUCAAGGUCCCGCUAUUGGAUAUUGACCGGGGAGUGUCUCAGGUCAUGUCUGCAUGGUUCUCGAACCCGCAGAGUCUGCACACUUAAGGUUCGGUGAUGUUUCGGUAUUGUUGAGUUAUAGGUGUUGGUUAACGAAGGUUUGUUCGGAGUCCUGGAUGAGAUCACGAAUGUCACGAGGGUUUCCGGAAUGGUCCGGAAAUGAAGAUUGAUAUAUAGGAUUGUUUCAUUUGGCCUCCGGAAAGAUUUCGGGCAUUGCCGGCAGUGUACCGGGAGUGACGAAUGGGUUCCAGGUUUUUACCGGGAGGGGGCCACCCACCCGGGAGAGAACCUAAUAGCCCAUAGGUGGCACACCAGCCCGUGGUGGGCUGGUGAGGCUAGCCCAAUAGGGCUAAUUAGGCCAAGAGGAAAAAUCAAAGGAGAAAAAAAAGAGGAGGUGGGAAGGAAGGAAGGGAGUCCUCCUUCCCAAACCGAAUUGGAGUGGGAGUCCCUCCUCCUCCACUCGGCUGACGCCCUAGGGGCUCUCUUGACCCCCAAGGCUAGUCCCUCCCCUCCUCCUAUAUAUACUAGAGGUUUUAGGGUUUUUGAGACACAACUUUCCCACGUGCAUCCUUAAACCUCUACCUUGUAGUUCUUCCUCUAGAUCGGUUUUCUGCGGAGCUCGGGCAGAGCCCUGCAGGAAUAGAUCUUCACCAUCACUGGCGUGUCAUCACGCUGCCGGAGAACUCAUCUACUUCCGUGUCUCUCUUGCUGGAUCAAGAAGGCGGAGAUUGUCAUCGAGUUGUACGUGUGAUGAACGCGGAGGUGCCGUCCGUUCGGUGCUAGAUCGGCACGGAUCGUGGGACGACGGUGAUUUGAAUCAUGAAGUUGUUCCACUACAUCAACCACGUUUCUUAACGCUUCCUGCUUAGCGAUCUACAAGGGUAUGUGGAUCCGAUCUCCCUCUCGUAGAUGAACAUCACCAUGAUAGGUCUUCGUGUGCGUAGGAAGAUUUGUGUUUCCCAUGCAACAUUCCCCAACGGUUACAUCAUGAGCUAGGUUCAUGCGUAGAUGUAAUCUCGAGUAGAACACAAAAGUUUUUGUGGGUUUUGAUGUUCGAUUUUCUGCCCUCCUUAGUCUUUUCUCGAUUCGGCGGUAUUGUUGGAUUGAAGCUGCCCGGAUCAACCUUACUCGUACGCUUACGAGAGACCGGUUUCAUCGAGUAACAUGCAACUUGUUGCAUAAAGAUGACUCGCGGGUGUCUGUUUCUUCAACUUUAGUUGAAUUGGUUUUGACCGAGGCAAUCCUUGGAGAGAGGUUAAAUAGCAAUUUGCACAUCACCGUUGUGGUUUUGCGUAAGUAAGAUGCGAUCAUACUAGAUACCCAUAGCAGCCACGUAAAACAUGCAACAACAAAUUAGAGGACGUUUAACUUGUUUUUGCAGGGUAUGCAUGUGAUGUGAUAUGGCCAAAGACAUGAUGUGAUAUAUUGGAUGUAUGAGAUGAUCAUGUUGUAAUAGUUAAAUAUCGACUUGCACGUCGAUGCUACGGCAACCGGCAGGAGCCAUAGGGUUGUCUUUAAACUAACGUUUGUGCUUGCAGAUGUGUUUACUAUAUUGCUAGGUUGUAGCUUUAGUAGUGAUAGCAUAGACAACACAACAACCUCGAUGGCGGCACGAUGAUGGAGAUCAUGGUGUGGCGCCGGUGACGAUGAAGAUCAUGCCGGUGCUUUGGUGAUGGAGAUCAAGAAGCACAAGAUCAUGGCCAUAUCAUGUCACUUAUGAAUUGCAUGUGAUGUUAAUCCUUUUAUGCACCUUAUCUUGCUUAGAACGAUGGUAGCAUUAUGAGGUGAUCCCUUACUAAAUUUAAAGAUAAAAUUGUGUUCUCCCCGACUGUGCACCGUUGCGAGAGUUCAUUGUUUCGAGACACCACGUGAUGAUCGGGUGUGAUAGACUCAACGUUCACAUACAACGGGUGCAAAACAGUAGCACACGCGGAACACUCGGAUUAAACUUGACGAGCCUAGCAUGUACAGACAUGGCCUCGGAACACAAGAGACCGAAAGGUCGACAAUGAAUCGCAUGGUUGAUAUGAUUAACAUAGAGAUGUUUACCACUGAAACUACACUCAACUCACGUGAUGAUCGGACUUGAGUUAGUGAAUUUGGAUCAUGCCACACUCAAAUAACUAUAGGGAUGUCUAUUUGAGUGGGAGUUUAUUAGUAAUAUGAUUAUCUGAACUCUAAUUGUCUUGAACAUAGUCGAAGUAAACUUUGCAAUAUUUUAUGUUGUAGAUCAAUGGCUCACACACUAGAAACCCUGAAUUUCCAUACGUUCCUAGAGAAAGCUAAGCUGAAAGAUUAUGGUACCAACUUUGUAGACCGGGCUCGUAAUAUGAGGCUUAUCCUACAAGCCGGGAAAAAGAAUUAUGUCCUUGAGGCAGCUCUAGGAGAUGAACCACCCGCUACGUCUGAACAAGAUGUUUUGAACGCUUGGCAAGCACGUAAGGAGGACUACUCAGUAGUUCAAUGUGCAGUCUUGUAUGGCUUAGAACCGGGACUUUAACAAUGCUUUGAAUGUCAUGGAGCAUAUGAGAUGUUCCAGGAGUUGAAGUUUAUCUUUCAGAAGAAUGCCCAGAUCGAGAGGUAUGAGUCCUCUGACAAAUUCUAUGCUUGCAAAAUGGAGGAGAAUUCGUUUGUCAGUGAACAUGUGCUCAAAAUGUCUGGGUACUCAAACCGUCUAGCUGAGCUAGGAGUUGAACUCCCGCAAGAGUCCAGCACUGACAGAAUUCUUCAAUCACUGCCACCUAGCUACAAGAGCUUUGUGUUGAAGUAUAACAUGCAAGGGAUGAAUAAGUCACCCGGCGAGUUAUUUGCGAUGCUGAAAGUCGCAGAGUCAGAACUCUGGAAAGAACAUCAAGUGUUGAUGGUUAAGAAGACCACUGGUUUGAAGAGAAACAACAAAGACAAGAAGGGAAACUCCGAAAAGAGCGACAAAACUGUUGCCCCUUCGAAGAAGAAACCCAAGGCUGGACCUAAGCCGGAAACAUAGUGCUAUUAUUGCAAGGGGACGGGUCACUGGAAGCGCAACUGCCCCAAGUAUUUGGCUGAUAAGAAGGCGGCCAAUGCCAAACCAGGUAUAUGUGAUAUACAUGUUAUUGAUGUGUACCUAACCAACUCUCGUAGUAGUUCCUGGGUAUUUGAUACCGGUUCUGUUGCUCACAUUUGCAACUCGAAGUAGGAACUGCGGAAUAAACGAAGGCUGGCGAAGGAUGAAGUGACGAUGCGCGUGGGAAAUGGUUCCAAGGUUGAUGCAAUCUCUGUCGGCACAGUCUCACUUCAGUUACCAUCGGGAUUAGUUAUGAACUUAAAUAAUUGUUAUUUAGUGCCUGCGUUAAGCAUGAACAUUAUAUCUGGAUCUUGUUUAUUGCCAGACGGUUACUCAUUUAAGUUAGAGGAUAAUGGUUGUUCUAUUUUUAUGAGUAAUAUCUUUUGUGGUCAUGCACCCAAUGUGAGGGGUUUGUUCAUAUUGAAUUUUGAUUGUGAUAACACACAGAUCCAUAACAUUGAGACCAAAAGAUGUAGAGUUAACAAUGAUAGCGCCACCUUUUUGUGGCACUGCCGCUUAGGUCAUAUUGGUGUAAAGAGCAUUAAGAAACUCCAUGCUGAUAGGCUUUUGGAGUCACUUGAUAUUGAAUCACUUGACAUGUGCAAACCAUGCCUCAUGGGCAAGAUGACUAAGACUCCGUUCUCUGGAACAAUAGAGCGUGCAAGUGACUUGUUGGAAAUCAUACAUACUGAUGUGUACGGGCCAAUGAGUGUGGAGGCACGCGGCGGAUAUCGUUAUUUUCUCACCUUCACUGAUGAUUUGAGUAGGUAUGGAUAUAUCUACUUGAUGAAGAACAAGUCUGAAACGUUUGAAAAGUUCAAACAAUUUCAGCGUGAAGUUGAAAAUCAUCGUAACAAGAAGAUCAAGUUCCUACGAUCUGAUUGAGGGGGCGAAUAUCUGAGUUUCGAGUUUGGUGCUCACUUAAGACAAUGUGGAAUCGUUUCACAGUUGACACCGCUUGGAACACCACAGCGUAAUGGUAUGUCCGAACGUCAUAAUCGUACUUUGUUAGAUAUGGUGCGAUCUAUGAUGUCUCUUACCGAUUUGCCAUUAUCAUUUUGGGGUUAUGCAUUAGAGACAACUGCAUUCACUUUAAAUAGGGCACCAUCAAAAUCCAUUGAGACGACACCGUAUGAGCUAUGGCAUGGCAAGAGGCCAAAGUUGUCGUUCCGUAAAGUUUGGGGAUGCGAUGCUUAUGUCAAAAAGCUUCAGCCUGAAAAGCUAUAACCCAAAGCGGAAAAGUGCAUCUUCAUAGGUUACCCAAAAGAGACAGUUGGGUACACCUUCUAUCUCAGAUCCGAGGGCAAAGUGUUUGUUGCUAAAAACGGAGCUUUUCUUGAGAAAGAGUUUCUCUCGAAAGAAUUGAGUGGGAGGAAGAUAAAAACUUGAUGAGGUUGUGGAACCUCUGCUCUAGCAGGAUGGUGGCGCAGGGCAGAGGGAAAUCUCUGUCGAGGCAACACCGGUUGAGGAGGAAGCUAAUGAUGAUGAUCAUGAAGCUUCGGAUCAAGUUACUGUCGGACCUGGCAGGUCGACAAGAUCACGUACUGCUCCUGAGUGGUACGGGAAUCCUGUCUUGUCUAUCAUGUUGUUAGACAACAAUGAACCUGCGAAUUAUGAAGAAGCAAUGGUGGGCCCAGAUUCCAACAAAUGGUUAGAGACCAUGAAAUCCGAGAUAAGAUGUAUGUAUGAAAACAAAGUGUGGACUUUGGAAGUAUUAACUGAAGGUCGCAAGGCUAUUCAGAACAACUGGAUCUUUAAGAAGACGGACGCGGACGGUACUGUGACCGUUUAUAAAGCUCGACUUGUGGCAAAUGCUUUUUCACAAGUUUAAGGAGUUGACUACGAUGAGACAUUCUCACCGGUAGCGAUGCUUAAGUCCGUUCAAAUCAUGUUAUCAAUAGCUGCAUUUUUGGAUUAUGAAAUCUGGCAGAUGGAUGUCAAAACGGCGUUCCUUAAUGGUUUUAUUAAGGAAGAAUUGUAUAUGAUGCAACCCGAAGGUUUUGUCGACCCAAAGAAUGCUAACAAAGUAUGUGAUCACCCACAAGUGUAGGGGAUCUAUCGUAGUCCUUUCGAUAAGUAAGAGUGUCGAACCCAACGAGGAGCAGAAAGAUCUGACAAGUGGUUUGCAGCAAGUUAUUCUCUGCAAGCACUGAAAUUAUCGGUAACAGAAAGUUGUCUGAUAAGAUGAUUCAUAGAAAGUAGCAAGUAACAAUAGUAACAACGGUGCAGCAAAGUGACCCAAUCCUUUUUGUAGCAAAGGACAAGCCUGGACAAACUCUUAUAGGAAGUAAUGUGCUCCCGAGGACACACGGGAAUUUCUGUCAAGCUAGUUUUCAUCAUGUUCAUAUGAUUCGCGUUCGCUACUUUGAUAGUUUGAUAUGUGGGUGGACUGGUGCUUGGUUGCUGCCCUUACUUGGACAAACCUCCCACUUAUGAUUAACCCCUCUCGCAAGCAUCCGCAACUACGAAAUAAGAAUUAAGACAAAGUCUAACCAUAGCAUUAAACUAGUGGAUCCAAAUCAGCCCCUUACGAAGCAACGCAUAAACUAGGGUUUAAGCUUCUGUCACUCUAGAAACCCAUCAUCUACUUACUACUUCCCAAUGCCUUCCUCUAGGCCCAAAUAAUGGUGAAGUGUUAUGUAGUCGACGUUCACAUAACACCACUAGAGGAGAGACAACAUACAACACAUCAAAAUAUCGAACGAAUACCAAAUUCACAUGACUACUUAUAGCAGGACUUAUCCCAUGUCCCGAGGAACAAAAGUGACUACUCACAAAGCAUAAUAAUAUUCAUGACCAGAGAGGUUUUGAAUAGCAUCAACGAUAUGAACAUAUAAUCUUCCACCAAGUAAUCCAACUAGCAUCAACUACAAAGAGUAAUUAACACCACUAGCAACCUUAGAAGUACCAAGCGGAGUCGCGAGAUGGAGAUUGGUUACAAGAGAUGAACUAGGGUUUGGAGAUGAGAUGGUGCUGAUGAAGAUGUUGAUGGUGAUGAGUCCCCUCCGAUGAGAGGAGUGUUGGUGAUGACUAUGGCGACGAUUUCCCCCUCCGUGAGGGAAGUUUCCAUGGCAGGACGACCCUGCCGAAGCUCUAGAUUGGUUCUGCUCAAGUUCUGCCUUGUGGCGGCAGCGAUUCCUCCCGAAAGCCUCCUCUCAAUUUUUUCUGGAACGAAACCCUCCUUAUAGCAAAAGAGGGGAGCCAGAGGGCCAACAGGGAGCCCACAAGCGCCCUAGGCGCGGCCAGGGGGGUAGGCCGCGCCUAGCAGGCUUGUGGCCUCCUGGUGGCUCCCCUCUGGUACUUCUUCCGCCCAGUAUUUUUUGUAAAUUCCAAAAUAAUUCCUCGUUGAUUUUCACGGCUUUUGGAGUUACGUAGAAUAGGUAUCUCAAACUUGCUCCUUUUUCAGGCCAGAAUUCGAGUUGCCGGCAUUCUCCCUCUUCAUGUAAACCUUAUAAAAUAAGAGAGAAAAGGCAUAAGUAUUUUACCGUGAAGUGUAAUAAUAGCCUAAAAAGCGAUAAAUAUCAACAUAAAAGAAUAAUGCAAAAUGGACGUAUCAACUCAACCAAGCUUAGACUUUGCUUGUCCUCAAGCGGAAACCGAGAUCAAUAAAUAUGCCCACAUGUUUAGAGAGAGAGGUGUCGACAAAAGAAAAUACGGACAUGUAAGCAUCGUGAUCAUAAUGAGAACAGCAAUAUCAUCAUAUCAUCUCUUAUGCUAAAGUGAUAAUUCCUUCACAAAGUAAAGUAUGGGUCAAGAACCUUAUUGAGAAUUAACAACCAAUAGCCUUUAGUCAUUGAAGCAAUUGCAAUUUAUCAUAACAUCAGAAAGAGUCAAAUAAGAGCUUGUAAAGCAAAUCCACAUACUCAAUCAUCCUUCUGUCUUCUACAAUUGCUACAACUCACGUGGUACUCACGAGAUCAAAGUUUCAGUUGGACACAAAGAAAGAUAGGGGCUUAUAGUUUCGCCUCCCAACUAUUUGCCCCAAGGGUAAUGUCAACAAUAAUAAUUCAUGAAUACUUACUUCCAAGUUGACAUAUGAAUAUAGAUCUUUCCCUAGCAUAUGACGUUAGCCAAGAUAAAGGCGAAAUAAGGAAUUGGUGUAGAUCACGAUGACUCUUUUAGGGACAAAAAGUAAAGGUACAAGAUAGGCCCUCCGCAGAGGGAAGGAGUGGUUGUCAUGCGCUUUUGAGGUUUGGAUGUGUGUCCUCUUAGUGUGCAGGAACGUCACUUUAUAUUGCCUCCUGUGAUAAAGAACUUUAUUAUGCAGUCUGUCGCUUUUAUGUCUUCCUCAUCACAGGUUCGUGCAAAGCUUAUUUUCCACACACUAAUAGAUCAUACAUAUUUAGGUAGCAAUUUUUAUUGCUUGCACCGAUGACAACUUACUUGAGGGAUCUUAUUCAAUCCAUAGGUAGGUAUGGUGGACUCUCAUGGCAAAACUGGGUUGAAGGUUUAUGGAUGCACAAGUAGUAUCUCUACUUGGUGCAGAAGUUUUGGCUGAUAUGAGGUGGAAGCAAGCGUCACAUGCUAAGGGAUCUCUAGUCAUAUAAUCAUUGUUCGAAACCAAGCAAACAUAAUUCAUUAUGUUGUCUUCCUUAUCCAACUUCUACUUCUAAGCAUGCAAUAGUUUAGUGAGUGUUCACAAUCAUAGAUGGUGCCCAAGAUGAUAUAUUUAUAAGUGAACCUCUCUUUCUUUAUUACUUCCUAUUAAUUGCAGAAAUGACCAAGGUCUACGUUUGUCCACCCACAACAAGUUUCAAUCAACAUUCUUUUUAUAUGUGAAGCCAUCACUUCCCAUAAGAUCAUUACAUGAUCUUUCAUGCUUUUGUUAUUUUAUCAUUUUUUGAUCAUGGCAUGAGGCAAGGCCAUUAACUAAAACACUCUUUAUUAUAUGGAUCACGAGCUUGAAUACAUCGGGGGUGACACAAAGCAAAACUCAAGCCUAAAACGCUAAGAACUUUAUUCUACUAGAAAAAUAUAAAACCAAAAAGGAUCGAACUAAGAAAAGGUAAAGGCAAAAGAUGUCACGGUGAUACAAUACCGGGGCAAAUACCCCAAGCUUGGCACAAGCCAAGGGGAUUGCCCAUACCCGUGCUUAGUUGUCUUCCUUCGAAGGUGAUGGUGGUGGAGUUGUUGCAGAGGUAUUGAACUUGUUUAAUUUCCUCUUGAGCACAAAAUUCUGCUCCUUCAGAUUGUUAAUUUCCUCUUCAAGCCUCAACACCCUUUGGCAUAAUUCUUGCUUACUCUCCUGCAAAAGACGAGAGGGAUAAACAAAAUCUUAGGCUUCUUCCUUGAGUCACGGAGGCUUGACUUCUUGAACUCCAUAUGUGUGUCUCCAGGUUGGGGCAGAGGAGCCUUCCCUUCAUCGGAACAUGUUCCUUCCUUCCCCUGGGGAUCAUAAUCUUCUUCCUCAUCAGUGGGCCAACCAUAAUGAUCCAGGUCCCCAUAGGCCUUGGGGUUAGCAAGGUAAUCAGCCACAUAGCUCUCCGCCUCUGAAUCCUGAGAAGACAUCUUGCUCUAAAUCUGCAGCAGAAACAGGCUCGAAUCGAAAAUAGAGGAAAAUUGCGUGAUACGAGGGUUAGAACUUUCGGGAGAAUAUAUAAUGAUUUUUUUUUCGACCAGAAGGAGUACUCCGCAAGAAAACAGAGUCUGGGAGGCACACGAGGUGGUCACAAGCCCCUAGGCGCGGCCAGGGGGGUGGUCCGUGCCUGGCAGGCUUGUCGCCUCCUCGUGCGCUUUCCGGACUGCUUUAAAUUUUUCUAUUUUUCUAAAAAUUCCGAAACGGAGAAAAAUUCCUACUGGAAAAGUUUUGGAGUCAGUUUACUUACCGAAUCACAUACCUCUUCGUUUUUGGAGUGUGAAACAAGCUGAUAAAUAUCCCUUAUGUACUCCUCCGGAGUUAUGGUAUUGAUAAUGUUGCUUUCAACAUUUAUGGGAGUACCUGAGAUAUAAUGCUUGAUUCUCUGCCCAUUUACCAUGCUCGGAAAAUUACCUUCCGUGUUGUUGUUCUUGAUGGCACCGAAACGAUAUACUUCCUCAAAAAUGUAAGGACCUUCCCAUUUAGAGAGAAGCUUGUCUGCAAAAAAUAUUAAACGAGAAUUAUAUAGCAAGACAUAAUCAUCUACAUUGAACUCACGUUUUUGCAUCCUUUUAUCAUGCCACCUCUUAACCUUUUCUUUGAACAACUUGGCAUUUUCAUAUGCCUGAGCUCUCCAUUCAUCAAGCGAGCUAAUAUCAAAUAACCUCUUCUCACCAACAAGUUUGAAAUCAAAGUUGAGCUCUUUGAUUUCCCAAUAAGCCUUAUGCUCUAGCUCAAGAGGUAAAUGACAUGCUUUACCGUAAACCAUUUUGUACGGAGACAUGCCCAGGGGAUUCUUAUAAGCAGUUCUAUAAGCCCACAGUGCAUCAUCAAGCUUCUUAUACCAAUUCUUUCUAGACCUAUUGACAGUCUUUUGCAGAAUUAGUUUAAUCUCUCUAUUACUUAGCUCUACUUGACCACUGGACUGAGUGUGAUAGGGAGAUGCAAUUCUAUGGUUGACAUCAUACUUAGCAAGCGUUUUACGGAAAACACCAUGAAUAAAAUGUGAACCACCAUCAAUCAUUAGAUAUCUAGGGACUCCAAAUCUAGGGAAAAUAACUUCUUUAAGCAUCCUGAUAGAAGUGUUGUGAUCAGCACUACUAGUUGGGAUAGCUUGUCCCCACUUAGUAACAUAAUCAACACCAACUAGGAUAUGAGUAUACCCGUUGGAUUUUGGAAAAGGUCCCAUAUAAUCAAAGCCCCAAACAUCAAAUGGUUCAAUGACAAGUAAAUAGUUCAUAGGCAUUUCCUGACGUUUACCGGUAUUACCUAUUCUUUGACAUUCAUCACAAGACAAGACAAACUUACGGGCAUCCAUGAAGAGAGUGGGCCAAUAGAAACCUGAUUGCAAUACCUUGUGUGCAGUUCUGUCUCCUGCAUGGUGUCCUCCGUAAGCCUCGGAGUGACACUUCAGUAGGAUCUAUCCCUGUUCAUGUUCAGGUACACAACGUCUAAUAACACCAUCUACUCAUUCCUUAUAAAGAUGAGGAUCAUCCCAAAAGUAAUGUCUCAAAUCAAAGAAUAAUUUCUUCUUUUGCUAGUAUGUGAAACUAGGUGGUAUAUAUUUGGCAACGAUAUAAUUUGCAUAAUCAGCAUACCACAGUGUACUACGUGAAGUAUUGAUGACAUUCAAUUGCUCAUCAGGAAAGCUAUCAUCAAUAGGUUGUGGGUCAUCAAGAACAUUCUCCAACCUAGACAAGUUAUCUGCUAUGGGGUUCUCAGAACCCUUCCUGUCAACAACAUGCAAAUCAAAUUUUGUAGCAAGAGAACCCAUCUGAUAAGUCUAGGUUUAGCAUCUUUCUUGUCCAUGAGGUAUUUAAUAGCAGCGUGAUCAGUGUGAAUAGUGACUUUGGAACCAACUAUGUAAGAUCUGAACUUUUCACGUGCAAACACGACUACUAAAAAUUUCUUUUCAGUACUAGCAUAGUUUCUUUGGAUAUUGUCUAGAGUUUUACUAGCAUAGUGAAUAACAUUCAAUUUCUUAUCAACUCUUUGUCCUAGGACAACACCAAGAACAUAAUCACUAGCAUCACACAUGAUUUCAAAAGGUAAGUUCCAAUCAGGUGGUUGAACAAUAAGCGCAGUGAUCAAGGCCUUUUAAGUAUUUCGAAGGCUUCCUCAGAAUCAUCGUCAAAAACAAAAGGAAUAUCCUUUUGCAAGAGAUUGGUAAGAGGCCUAGAAAUAUUAGAAAAGUCCUUAAUGAACCUUCUAUAGAAACUAGCGUGACCAAGGAAACUUCUUAUACCUUUGAUAUCUGUAGGGCAUGGCAUUUUUUUGACCGCAUCAACGUUAGCCUUAUCAACUUCAAUACCUCUUUUAGAAAUUUUAUGUCCUAAGACGAUGCCUUCAUUAACCGUAAAUUGGCACUUCUCCCAAUUCAAGACAAGGUUGGUAUCUUUACAUCUCUGCAAGACUCGAUCAAGGUUGCUGAGGCAAUCAUCAAAAGAAGACCCGUCAACGGAGAAGUCAUCCAUGAAAACCUCAACAAUCUUUUCACAAAAGUCACAGAAUAUAGCCAUCAUACAACUUUGAAAGGUAGCAGGUGCAUUACAUAAGCCAAAAGGCAUAUGUCUGUAAGCAAAGGUACCGAAAGGACAGAUGAAAGUGGUUUUCUCCUGAUCGGAUUGUGCAACUGGUAUUUGGGAGAAACCAGAAUAACCAUCUAGAAAGUAGAAGUGUGUGUGUUUAGAUAAUCUUUCUAGCAUUUUGUCGAUAAAAGGCAAAGGGUAAUGAUCUUUCCUAGUGGUUUUAUUCAAUUUCCUAAAAUCGAUCACCAUCCUAUAGCCAGUAAUAAUCCUCUGUGGGAUCAAUUCAUCCUUAUCAUUAGGGACAACGAUAAUACCUCCCUUCUUAGGGACACAAUGCACCGGACUCACCCAAUCACUAUGAGCAACACGAUAGAUAAUACCUGCUUCCAGGAGCUUUAGUAUUUCUUUUCUUACUUCCUCUUUCAUCGUAGGAUUUAAUAUUCGUUGAUGAUUGGCAACUGGUUUGGAAUCGGUUUUAAUUUUGUGCUGGCAUAGAGUGGGACUAAUGCCCUUAAAAUCAUCAAGAGUAUAUCCAAUAGCUGCAUGGUGCUUCCUCAGAGUUUUUAGUAACUUCUUUUCUUCAUGCUUUGAGAGGCUAGCACUAACAAUAACAAGAUAUAUCUCUUUUUCAUCGAGAUACGCAUACUUAAGAGUAUCAGGCAACUAUUUGAGCUCGAACAUAGGAUCACCCUUUGGUGGGCGUGGAUCUCCAAGCAGUUCAACAUGCAAAUUAUUCUUAAGGAUAGGAUAUUUUUCAAAGAUAACUCUAUCUAUCUCAUCCCUUUCAUCCAUAUGCAUAUCAUUUUCAUGCUCAAGCAAGUAUUUCUCUAAAGGAUCAGUAGGAGCUGCGGCAAUAGAAGCUAGGGCAACAAUUUCAUCCUUGCUAGGCAACUCUUUUUCAUGAGGUUGUCUACCAAACUUAGAGAAAUUGAACUCAUGUGACACACCUUCAAAGCCAACAGUGACAGUUUGCUUCUCACAGUCAAUAUGAGCAUUGACAGUAUUGAGGAAGGGUCUGCCAAAUAUGAUGGGACAAAAGCUAUCUUGUGUGGUAGCAAGAACGAGAAAAUAAGUAGGAUACUUCGUUUUACCACACAAGACUUCAACAUCUCUAACAACUCCCAAAGGGCAGAUAGUAUCUCUAUUGGCAAGCUGAAUAGUGACAUCAAUAGGUUCCAUCUCAACAGGUGCAAUCUCGUCUUUAAUUUCAUCAUAUAAGGAUUGAGGUAUUACACUAACACUAGCACCCACGUCACAUAAACCAUGAUAACAAUGAUUUGCUAUCUUAACAGAAACAACAGGCGUGCCAACAACGGGCCUAUGUUUGUCUCUAGCAUGUGGUUUAGCAAUUCUAGCAGCAUCUUCACAGAAGUUAAUAUCAUGGCCAACAUUGUCGGACAGGAGAUCUUAGAUAAUAGCAAUGCUAGGUUCAACUCUAAUUUGAUCAAGGGGUGUAGGUGUUCUAAUGUAGCCCCUACGUAUCACAGUUGAAACUUUAGAAUGAUCCUUUAUCCUAACAGGGAAAGGUGGUGUCUCAAUGUAAGCACUAGGAACAAUAGGAUCAUUAUAAGCAAUGACUUUCUCUUCAACUGGAUUGGGUUUAACUAUAUUGACUUCUAAGGGAGGAUGAUACUUAAAUCACUUCUCUUUAGGGAGAUCAAUAUGAGCAGCAAAUGAUUCACACAAUGAAUCUACCAUCUCAGAGUCAAGUCCAUAUUUAGCGCUAAAAUCACAAAAAGUAUUUGUUUCGACAAAGGAUUUAACGCAAUCAAACUUGAGAUUCAUACCUGACUCCUUACCUUCAUCAAACUCCCAAUCUUUAGAGUUGCGUUUAAUUCUUUCCAAUAAAUUCCAUUUGAAGUCAAUAUCUCUCUUCAUAAAAGAACCGGUACAAGAAGUGUCAAGCAUUGUGCGAUUAUCAUGAGUAAGCCGAGCAUAGAAGUUCUGAAUGAUAAUUUAUCUCAAGAGCUCAUGGUUGGGGCAUGAAUAUAACAUUGAUUUAAGCCUCCCCCAAGCUUGAGCUAUACUUUCUCUGUCACGAGGCCAAAAAUUAUAAAUAUAAUUCCGAUCACGAUGUAGCAAAUGCAUAGGAUAAAACCUUUGAUGAAAUUCCAAUUUCAAUCGGUUGUAGUUCCAUGAUCCAGUAUCAUCACAUAGCCUAUACCAUGUCAAUGCUCUAUCCCUCAAAGAUAAGGGAAAGAACUUCUUCUUGACCUCAUCCUCGGGCAAACCUGCAAGCUUAAAUAAACCACAAACUUCAUCUACAUAGAGUAGAUGCAAGUCGGGAUGUGAUGUUCCAUCUCCUGUAAAAGGAUUAGCCAGCAGUUUCUCAAGCAUACCCGAAGGAAGUUCAUAGCAAAUAUUUUCAGUAGGUGCAGCAGGUUGAGGAGCAACUCCUUGUGCUCCCAGUCGAGGUGAAGAUACCCCGAACAAGCUCCUCAAAGGAUUAGUUUCCAUAGUGACAAGUGACAAUAAAUUUCAGCACACUAUAUAAAUGUUUCCUUACCAAAGGCGCUUCACUCCCCGACAACGGCGCCAGAAAAGAGUCUUGAUGACCCACAAGUGUAGGAGAACUAUCGUAGUCCUUUCGAUAAGUAAGAGUGUCGAACCCAACAAGGAGCAGAAGGAUCUGACAAUUGGUUUUCAGCAAGGUAUUCUCUGCAAGCAUCGAAAUUAUCGGUAACAAAAAGUUGUGUGAUAAGAUAAUUCAUAGCAAGUAGCAAGUAACAAUAGUAACAAUGGUGCAACAAACUGGCCCAAUCCCUUUUGUAUCAAAGGACAAGCCUGGACAAUCUCUUAUAGGAGGUAAAGCGCUCCCGAGGACACACGGGAAUUUCUGUCAAGCUAGUUUUCAUCAUGUUUAUAUGAUUCACGUUCGCUACUUUGAUAGUUUGAUAUGUGGAUGGACCAGUGCUUGGGUGCUGCCCUUACUUGGACAAACCUCCCACUUAUGAUUAACCCCUCUCACAAGCAUCCGCAACUACGAAAUAAGAAUUAAGACAAAGUCUAACCAUAUCAUUAAACUAGUGGAUCCAAAUCAGCCCCUUACGAAGCAACGCAUAAACUAGGGUUUAAGCUUCUGUCACUCUAGAAACCCAUCAUCUACUUACGACUUCCCAAUGCCUUCCUCUAGGCCCAAAUAAUGGUGAAGUGUUAUGUAGUCGACGUUCACAUAACACCACUAGAGGAGACACAACAUACAACACAUCAAAAUAUCGAACGAAUACCAAAUUCACAUGACUACUUAUAGCAAGACUUAUCCCAUGUCCUGAGGAACAAAAGUGACUACUCACAAAGCAUAAUAAUAUUCAUGACCAGAGAGGUUUUGAAUAGCAUCAAGGAUCUGAAGAUAUAAUCUUCCACCGAGUAAUCCAUCUAGCAUCAACUACAAAGAGUAAUUAACACUACUAGCAACCUUACAAGUACCAAUCGGAGUCGCGAGACGGAGAUUGGUUACAAGAGAUGAACUAGGGUUUGGAGAUGAGAUGGUGCUGAUGAAGAUGUUGAUGGUGACGAGUCCCCUCCGAUGAGAGGAGUGUUGGUGAUGACGAUAGCGAUGAUUCCCCCCUCCGGGAGGGAAGUUUCCCCGGCAGGACGACCCUGCCGGAGCUCUAGAUUGGUUCUGCUCAAGUUCCGCUUCGUGGCGGCGGCGAUUCCUCCCGAAAGCCUCCUCUCGAUUUCUGCUGGAUUGAAACCCUCCUUAUAGCAAAAGAGGGGAGCCAGAGGGCCGAUAGGGAGCCCACAAGCCCCCUAGGCGCGGCUAGGGGGGUAGGCCGCGCCUAGCAGGCUUGUGGCCUCCUGGUGGCUCCCCUGUGGUACUUCUUCCGCCCAGUAUUUUUUAUAAAUUCCAAAAUAACUCCUCGUUGAUUUUCACGGCUUUUGGAGUUGCGCAGAAUAGGUAUCUCAAACUUGCUCCUUUUUCAGGCCAGAAUUUCAACUGCCGGCAUUCCCCCUCUUCAUGUAAACCUUAUAAAAUAAGAGAGAAAAGGCAUAAGUAUUGUACCGUGAAGUGUAAUAACAGCCCAAAAAGCGAUAAAUAUCACCAUAAAAGCAUGAUGCAAAAUGGACGUAUAAGUAUGCAAGAUCUAGCGAUCCAUUUAUAGACUGGUGCAAGCAUCUCGGAGUUAGAAUAAGCGCUUUGAUAAGGUGAUCAAGGCAUUUGGGUUUAUAGAAGUUGUUGGAGAAUCUUGUAUAUACCAGAAAGUGAGUGGGAGCUCUGUAGCAUUUCUAAUAUUAUAUGUGGAUGACAUAUUGCUGAUUGGAAACAAUGUGGAGUUUUUAGAGAGCGUAAAGGAUUACUUGAACAAAUAUUUUUGAAUGAAAGACCUAGGAGAAGUUGGUUACAUAUUAGGCAUAAAGAUCUAUAGAGAUAGAUCGAGGCGCCUAAUAGGACUUUCACAAAGCACAUACCUUGAUAAAGUUUUGAAAAAGUUCAAAAAUGGAGAAAUCCAAGAAGGGGUUGUUGCCAGUGUUACAAGGUAUAAAGUUGAGUAAGACUCAGUGUCCAGUAAAUGCAGAAGAUAGAGAAAAGAUGAGUAUCGUCCCCUAUGAUUCAGCCAUAGGGUAUAUCAUGUAUGCAAUGCUGUGCACAAGACCAGACGUCAGCCUGGCCAUAAGUAUGGCAGGCAGGUUUCAAAGUGAUCCACGAGUGGAAUACUGGGCGGCGGUCAAGAAUUUUCUGAAGUCCGUGAAAAGGAGUAAGGAAAUGUUUCUCGUUUAUGGAGGUGACGAAGAGCUCGUCGUAAAGGGUUACGUCGCUUUGACACUGAUCCGGAUGACUCUAAGUCUCAAACCGGAUACGUAUUUAUUCUCAAUGGGGGUGCGGUAAGCUGGUGCAGUUCCAAGCAAAGCAUCGUAGCAGAUUCUACAUGUGAAGCGGAGUACAUGGCUGCCUCGGAGGCGGUAAGGAGGGUGUCUCGAUAAAGCAGUUCAUGACAGAUCUUGGAGUUGUGGCGAGUGCACUAAAUCCAAUAACUCUAUUCUGUGACAACACUGGUGCCAUUGCUCUAGCCAAGGAACCAAGGUUUCACAAGAAGACCAGACACAUCAAACGAAGCUUCAACCUCAUCCGCGACUAUGUUGAAGGACAUGACGUAAAUAUUUGCAAAGUGCACACGGAUCUGAAUAUUGCAGAUCCACUGACUAAACCUCUUCCAUGAGCGAAGCAUGAUCAACACCAGAACUGUAUGGGUGUUAGAUUCAUUCCAAUGUAAAUCACAUAGCGAUGUGAGACUAGAUUAUUGACUCUAGUGCAAGUGGGAGACUGUUGGAAAUAUGCCCUAGAGGCAAUGAUAAAAUAGUUAUUAUUAUAUUUCCUGUUUGAAGAUAAUCGUUUAUUAUCCAUGCUAUAAUUGUAUUGAAUGAAAACAUAAAUGCAUGUGUGGAUAUAUAGACAAAACUAUGUCCCUAGUAAGCCUCUAGUUGACUAGCGAGUUGAUCAAGGAUGGUUAAGGUUUUCUGACCAUAUGCAAGUGUUGUCACUUGAUGACUGGAUCACAUCAUUGGGAGAAUGAUGUGAUGAACAAGACCCAAACUAUAAAUGUGGCAUGUGAUCGUGUCAUUCUGUUGCUAUUGUUUUCUACGUGUCAAGUAUUCAUUCCUAUGACCAUGAGAUCAUGUAACUCACUGACACCGGAGGAAUAACUUGUGUGUAUCAAAUGUUGCAACGUUACUCGGUGAUUAUAAAGGUGCUCUACAGGUAUCUCCAAAGGUGUGCGUUGAGUUAGCAUGGAUCAAGACUGGGAUUUUUCACUCCGUGUGACAGAGAGGUAUCUCGGGGUCCACCCGGUAAUACAACAUCACAUAUAAGCCUUGUAAGCAAUGUGGCUAAAGUGUUAGUCACGGGAUCUUGUAUUACGGAACGAGUAAAGAGACUUGCCGGUAACGAUAUUGAAACAGGUAUAGGGAUACCGAUGAUCAAAUCUCGAGCAAGUAACAUACCAAAGGAUAAAUGGAAUGGUAUACGGGAUUAUAUGAAUCCUUGACACAGAGGUUCAACCAAUAAGAUCUUCGUAGAAUAUGUAGGAUCCAAUAUGGACAUCCAGGUCCCACUGUUGGAUAUUGACUGAGGAGUGUCUCAGGUCAUGUCUGCAUAGUUCUCGAACCCGUAGGUUCUGCGCACUUAAGGUUCGGUGACGUUUCGGUAUAGUUGAGUUAUAGGUGUUGGUGACCGAAGGUUUGUUCGGAGUCUCGGAUGAGAUCACGGACGUCACGACGGUUUCCGUAAUGGUCCGGAAAUGAAGAUUGAUACAUACGAUUGUUUCAUUUGGCCUCCGGAAAGAUUUCGGGCAUCGCCGGCUGUGUACCGGGAGUGAUGAAUGGGUUCCAGGUUUUUACCGGGAGGGGGCCACCCAACCGGGGGAGUACCUAAUAGCCCAUGGGUGAGGCCAUCCAAAUAGGGCUAUUUCGGCCAAGAGGGAGAAGAAAAAAAGAGGAGGUGGGAAGGAAGGAAGGGACUCCUCCUUCCCAAACCGAAUUGGAGUGGGAGUCCCUCCUCCUCCACUCGGCCGACGCCCUAGGGGCUCUCUUGAGCCCCAAGGCUAGCCCCUCCCCUCCUCUUAUAUAUACUAGGGGUUUUAGGAUUUUUGAGACUCAACUUCGCCACGUGCAACCCUAAACCUCUACUUCGUAGUUCUUCCUCUAGAUCGGUUUUCUGCGGAGCUCGGGCGGAGCACUGCUUGAAUAGAUCAUCACCAUCACCGGCGCGCCGUCAGCUGCCAGGGAACUCAUCUACUUCCCCGUCUCUCUUGCCAGAUCAAGAAGUCGGAGAUCAUCAUCGAGGUGUACGUGUGCUGAACGCGGAGGUGGGGACCGUUCGGUGCUAGAUAGGGACGGAUCGUGGGACGAUGGUGAUUUGAAUCACGAAGCUGUUCCACUACAUCAACCCCGUUUCUUAACGCUUCCCGCUUAGCGAUCUACAAGGGUAUGUGGAUCCGAUAUCCCUCUCGUAGAUGAACAUCACCAUGAUAGGUCUUCGUGUGCAUAAGAAUUUUUUUUGUUUCCCAUGCAAUGUUCCCAACAAAACUAUCAUCAAUAGGUAGUGGGUCAUCAAGAACAUUUUCUAACCUAGACAAGUUAUCAGCAAUGGGGUUCUCAACUCCUUUCCUAUCAGUGACGUGUAAAUGAAAUUCUUGUAGCAAGAGAACCCACCUAAUGAGUGUAGGUUUAGCAUCUUUCUUUUCCGUAAGAUAUUUUAUAUCACCAUGAUCAGUGUGAACAAUUACUUGGGAAUCAACAAUAUAAGAUCUGAAUAUAUCACAAGCAAACACAAGUGCUAAAAAAAUCUUUUCCACUGGUAGCAUAAGUCCUUUGCGCACUGUCUAGAGAUUUACUAGCAUAAUGGAUGACAUUUAAUUUUUUAUCAACUCUUUUUCCUAGAACAGCACCAACAACAUAGUCACUAGCAUCACACAUAAUUUCAAAAGGAAAGUUCCAAUCAGGUGGUUGAACAAUGGGUGCAGUGGUCAAGUCUUUCUUAAGUGUUUCAAAGACUUCUACACAAUCAUCAUCAAAAACAAAUGGAACAUCCUUUUGUAAAAUAUUUGUAAGAGGCCUAGAAAUUUUAGAGAAGUCUUUAAUAAACCACCUAUAGAAACCAAUAUGACCAAGGAAACUAUGAAUACCUUUGAUAUCUUUAGGACACGACAUUUUCUCAAUUGCAUCAACUUUAGCUUUAUCCACCUCAAUGCCUCGUUCAGAAAUUUUAUUACCCAAGACAAUACCUUCAUUAACCAUAAAGUGGCACUUCUCCCAAUUCAAAAGAUUAGUUUUCUCACAUCUCUACAAAACUCGAUCAAGUUUACUCAAGUAAUCAUCAAAAGAAGUUCCAUAAAAAGAAACAUCAUCCAUGAAAACCUCAUCAAUCUUUUCAUAAAAAUCAGAGAAUAUAACACCCAUACAUCUUUGAAAGGUAGCAGGUGCAUUGCAUAAACCAAAAGGCAUGCGUCUAUAAGCAUAAGUUCAAAAAGGACAAGUAAAAGUGGUUUUCUCUUGAUCAGAUUGUGAAACAUGUAUUUGAGAGAAACCUGAAUAUCCAUCUAGGAAGCAAAAAUGUGUGUGCGUAGAGAGUCUUUCUAGUAUUUUAUAGGUAAAAGGUAGAGGGUAAUGAUCCUUUCUAGUUGCUUUGUUUAAUUUUCUAAAAUUAAUUACCAUUCUACAAUGAGUGACAAUUUUUGGUGGAAUAAGUUCACUCUUAUCAUUAGGACUAACAAUAAUACCUCCUUUCUUAGGGACACAAUGAACGGGGCUUACCCAUCUACUAUCAGCUACCGUAUAGAUUAUACCUGCUUCCAGAAGCUUUAACAUUUCAGUUCUUACAACUUCUUUCAUUUUAGGAUUCAACAGACGUUGGUGAUCAACAACGGGUUUAGCAUCAGGUUCCAUAUUAAUAUUGUGCUGACAUAGAGUGGGAAUAAUGCCCUUAUGGUCAUCAAGAGUACAUCCAAUAGGAGCUCAGUGCUUCUUCAGAACUUUCAAUAAUCUUUCUUCUUCAUGUUCUAUUAGGUUAGCACUAAUAAUAACAGAAUUAUAUCUUCUUUUCAUCAAGAUAAGCAUAUUUCAAAGUAUCAGGCAAUUGUUUCAAUUCAAACACAGGAUCACCCUUAGGUGGAGGAGGACCUCCUAGAGUUUCAAUAGGAAAAAUGCGUCUAAGCAGAGGUUGUUGUUAAAAGAAGAUGUUAUCUAUUUGAUUUCUUUCAUGCAUAUGCAUAUCAUUUUCAUGGUGUAGCAAAUAGUGUUAUAAAUAAUCAGUAGGAGGCACGACAAUAGAAGCAAGAUCAAUUAUCUCACCCUUAUUAGGAAAUUCUUUCUUAUGAUGUUUUCUAUUAAACUUGGAAAAAUUAAACUCAUGAGAAUCACCACCAAAAUUAACAUUGACACUUUGUUUAUGGCAAUCUAUAGUAGCAUUAACGGUGUUCAAGAAAGGUCUACCAAAGAUAAGGGGACAAAAUUCAUCUUGUGGGGAACCAAGGACGACAAUAAAAUUAGUAGGAUAUUUUGUUUUCCCACACAAGACUUCAACAUCUCUAACAAUCCCAAGUGGUGCGAUGGUGUCUCUAUUAGCAAGUUUAAUAGUAACAUCUAUCUCUUCUAUUUCAGUGGGUGCUAUUUCAUCCAUAAUUUUUUGAUACAAAGUAAAUGGAAUAGCACUUACUCUAGCCCCUAUAUAACAUAAACCAUGGUAACAAUGAUUUCCUAUUUUAACUUAAAGCACAGGCAUGCCAACAACGAGUAUAUAUUUUAUCUUUCCCAUUAGGGUUAGCAAUUCAAGCAGUUUCACCAUAGAAGUACAUAACAUGACCAUCAAUAUAUUAUUCCAAGAAAUAUUUAACCAUAGCAACAUUAGGUUGUACCUUAAGUAGUUCAGAAGGAUUAGGUGCUUUGAUAUCACUUCUUCCAACCACAGUUGAAACCUUAGCAUGUUAUUUUAUCUUAACAGGAAAAAAGAGGUUUUUCAUUGUAAGCGGUAGGGACAACUGGGUCAACAUUAUAAAUGAUAGUUUCUUCUUUGGCUAUUAUUGGUUCUUUAAUAUGGGAUGAUAUUUAAACCACUUCUCCUUAGGGAGAUAAACAUUAGUAGGAAAUGAUUUACAGAACUAUCAUUUAUCUAUUAUCUUAGAGUCAAGUCCAUAUUUAGUGCUAAACUUUUGAAAAGCAUUGAUAUCUAGAAAAGAUUUAACACAAUCAUACUUAAGAUUAAUACCUGACUCUUUACCUUCGUCGAGUUCCCAAUCUUCAAAUUUGCGUGUAAUUCUUCCUAAGAGAUCCCACCUGAAUUCAAUAGUAUUCUUCAUAAAAUAACUAGUACAAGAAGCGUCGAGCAUGGUUUGAUUAUUACAAGAAAGCCAAGCAUAAAAGUUUUGAAUAAUAAUUUCUCUCGAGAGCUCAUGAUUGGGGUAUGAAUAUAACAUUGACUUAAGCCUCCCCCAGAUACUUCAUCCUUCAUGAGGCCAAAAAAUAUAAAUAUAAUUCCGAUCACGAUGAACUAGAUGCAUAGGAUAAUUUUUUGAUGAAAUUCCAUUUGCAAUCGAUUCCAGUUCCAUGAUCCAAUAUCAUCACAUAGCAUAUACCAUGCGAAUGCUUUUCCCUUUAAUGAUAAAGAGAAAACCUUCCUCUUAACUUCAUCUCUGGGUAGACCUGCAAGCUUAAAUAAUCCACAAAUUUCAUCCACAUAUAUCAAGUGCUUAUCACGAUGUUCACUUCCAUCUCCUGCAUAAGGAUUAGCUAGCAGUUUUCUAUCAUACCCGAAGGAAUUUCAUAACUAAUAUUUCCAGUAGGUGCAGUUGGCUGAGGGGAAACUAAUUGUGCUUCCUGUCGAGGUGAACAUACCCCGAACAAACCAUUCAAAGGAUUGUUUUCCAUAGUAGCAAGUGACAAUAAAAUUCAUCACGUCGCAAUAAAUUUUCCUUACUGAUUUCCACUUACCAAGAGCACUUCACUCCCCGGCAACGGCACCAGAAAAGAGUAUUGAUGACCUACACGUAUAGGGGAUCAAUCGUAGUCCUUUCGGUAAGUAAGAAUGUUGAACCCAAUAAGGAGCACAAGGAAAUGACAAGUGGUUUUCAGCGAGGUAAUUUCUGCAAGCAUUGAAAUAGCGGUAACAAGUUGUUUGAUAGCAAGAUAGUUCUAACAAGUAACUAGUAGCAAGAGUAACAAUAAGUGAAGCAAUGUAGCCCAAUCAUUUUGUGGCAAAGGACAUGCCAAAGUGGUUUCUUAUAAUAGGUAAAGCGUUCUUGAGGGCACACGGGAAUUUCAUCUAGUCACUUUCACUAUGAUAGCUUAAUUCGUGUUUGAUACUUUGAUAGUAUGAUAUGUGGGUGGACCAGUGCUUAGGUGAUGUUCUUACUUGAACAAACCUCCUACUUAUGAUUAACUCCCUCGCAAUCAUCCACAACUAAGAGAAAAGUAUUAAGAUAAAUAUCUAACCAUACCAUUAAACUUUUGGAUCCAAAUCGGUCUCUUACAAAGUAGCGCAUAAACUAGGGUUUAAGCUUGUGUCCCUCUAGCAACCCAUCAUCUAAUAACUACUCCACAAUGCAUUCCCUUAGUCCCAAAUAUGGUCAAGUGUCAUGUAGUCGACGUUCACAUGGCACCACUAAAGGAACCACAACAUACAUACCAUCAACAUGUUGAACACAUAUCAAGUGCACAUGAUUACUUGCAACAUGAUUUCUCCCGUGGCCUCAAGAACAAAAAUAGCUCCUCACAAAUGAUAAAUAUGCUCAAGAUCAGAGGAGUAUUAAUUUGCAUAAAGGACCUGAACAUUUUUUCUUCCACCAAAUAAACCAUAUAGUAAUCAACUAUAAGAUGUAAGCAACACUACUAGCCAUUCACAAGCAACAAUCUAAGGUUCCAGUGCCAAAAUUGAACACAAGAGAUGAACUAGGGUUUGAGAGGAGAUGGUGUUGUUGAAGAUGUUGAUGAAGAUUAUCCUCCCCAAGAUGAGAGGGUUGUUGGUGAUGACGAUGACGGUGAUUUCCCCCUUCGGGAGGGAAGUUCCCCUAGAGGAAUCGCUCCGCUAGAGGGCGAAAGUGCUCCUGCCCAAGUUCGGCCUUGAGAUGGCGGUGCUUCGUUCCAAAAGUCCUCCUCUAUAUUUUUUAGGUCAAAAACAAAUAUAGACCAGAAGGGGGGCACUGGAGGUGGGCAUUGCUGAGCACGACCCACCAGGGUGCACCCAAGGGGCCUCAUGCACCCUGGUGUCCUGUGCUCACCACGUGCUGCCCCCUCCGGUAGCUCUUUGCUCCAUUAUUUUUAAAUAUUCCACAAAAAUUCUCCGUGAACUUUCAGAUCAUUUGGAGUUGCGCAGAGUAGGUAACUUUAUGUAGCUUUUUCAGGUCCAGAUUUCCAGCUACCGGUAUUCAUCCCUUUUGUGCAAACAUUGCAUAUUAUGAGAGAAAAUGCAUUAGAAAUACUCACAAAAGAAUUAUUAUGCAUAAUAACAUUAUAAAUAACAAUAGGAAAACAUGAUGCAAAAUGGACGUAUCACAUAUGUUUGCUUUUAUUUAUUGUUUCUUCCCUUUCUUCUCUGUGAUAGAGACCGAGACUGACGGUGCCGACGACCAGUCCUGUGCAGUAGAGCAACAAGGCAAGAAAAUCCCCUUGAUGAGUCCUAUAUCGCCCAUUCUUUCUCCCUCAUGCUUGCAUUAGAUUUUUCUACUGUUGUAGAUAGCUGCAAUUAUGAUGCAUAGACUAUUUUUCAUGAACUGAUAAUUUACUCUACUGCACAUUAAAUGCUUAGUAUAGGUGAAGUAGUAAUCCCCAUUGACCCCUUAGUCCUAGUUGCCCCGCUUUAUCAUCAAGUCUCGAUCCACCGAUCGACGAGCCAAGACCAGUCACAUCACUUCACACCCCCCUUGAUGUACGACGCUGCAGAGCUACUAUGGAGUACCAAAGGUGACACCCCGUUACACACUCAGUAUGUUAGCUCUGUAGUGUAGUUAACCGGCGGUGGUUCACGGACGGCGAUUCCUCCUACACCACUUCCGAUAACGACUAUGUUGUACAACCUCUCAAGCGUGGACCAUCGAGAUUGAAUCCUCCCUGGUCACCUUGACAGAUACAUUGUUCCAAAUCCAUCGAGGAUGAUACCUCGGAUCCCUCUACAGCCACACAGUUACUUGACCUUACUACUAGGAACUUGAUAAGCUGUGUUGCGGUUGGAUUCCCAUGUGGUUGUGACGAGGCAUGCGCUCAGCAUUCUUGGCCCUUGCCACACAUCCUUGAGACGGGGCUACAGGACCACAUAUCGUGGAUUAUUGAUCGUCGCCACAUAUCGUGAGUUGGUCUCGGACCUUUUCGCACUAACCUUCACGUGGGAGACGUUAUGGGUAGUCGACGUCUUAGUAUCAGCUGAAGCUCUUCAGACGUCCGCAAUGGAGCGGCGUGCGCCCGACUGGUCCGCGUAAGCCUUGUUGUUGUAUAAGAGAUGCAAGGACUAACCUCGGUCGCCCACACAUCAUGUAGGAGUGCAAAGGGUGAUGGGCCCAUGACCCCUGCGUGCUUAGGAUUUAGAUCGGUGUGCUGGCCUCUCUGUUGUGCCUAGGUAGGGUUGCGACAUAUUGAUGCUCCAAUGUCGGGCAUGACCCAGGAAAGUGUGUCCGGCCAGAGUUUAUCAAGCGUGUUGGGUAAGUUGGUGCACCACUUCAGGGAUGAAAAUUAACUAUUCGAAUAGCCGUUUCCACGGUUAUAGGAUGAUUUUGAAUUGUAUCCUCAUCUAAUACAACUACAACUAUUACUUAACUCGAACGUUUGCUCCGAGGUUGCUUUCUCGCAGGGAGUCGAGGAAGAAUCUGUGGGCGUGACUUAAUUAAAUUUGCUGCAACGAUAUGAUUAUAAAAUUGUGAUACUUGCUCUAUGCUCUUCUAAUGCUGCAAGACACUGAAGAUGCUAGUCUACGAUAGGACUAGUUCCUCUCUUUAUUCUCGCAUUGUUGUAGUUAGUCCAUAUAUAACCCCCUUUCCUUUGAUAGUGAUGCAUACUUAACAUAGUUCUGAUGUCAGUCAUGCGAGUACUUUGGAUGAGUACUCACAAUUGCUUUGCUCCCCAUUUCCCCUUGAUACGAUUGCCGCAACCAGAUGAUGGAUCCCAGGAGAUGGUGUUUCCCGCGAGUGACGACUACUACCCUGAUGGUGCCUAUUAAUACGUGGAGGUCACUAACGACCAGGAGUAGUUCAGGAGGCUCCCAGGCAGGAGGCCUCGCCUCUUUCGAUCUAUGUAUAUUUUGUGCUAGCCUUCUCUAAGGCAUUACCUUGUUUUAUGUGUGCACUCAGAUAUUUGUUGCUUCCGCUGACUCGUUUGUUCUCGAGCUUCUGUAUUCGAGCUUGUAAUAUGAAGCUUGUAUGUUUUUAUUUGUGUUUAGAGUUGUGUUGUGAUAUCUUCCCACGACUCCUUGAGCUUGGUCAUACGCACUUGCUUGCAUGAUUAGCGUAUGAUCAAAUCGAGGGCGUCACAAGCCCCUCAAUGCAACCGAAAGCAGUUAGAUCAAUCAUGUGGUAGUCAUGAGACUUUAGGUCUUGGAAUUUUUUAUCUGCAAUAUUUAUUAUUACCUUCAUAUUCAACUUGAAGCCAGACGGGACCUUGAUACUGAGCACACAUUCAAAAAAGAUUUCCUUCUCUGCUUUGGUAAGAGCAUAGCUCGAAGGACCUUGAUACUGCUUUGGAUGCAUGCCAUAUUUUUCGUUCAUAUGUUUCUUGUCCUCCCGUGCCUCCGAUGCAUCUUUUAUCUUCCCAUACAUGCCCAAGAAGCCUACCAGGUUCACACAAACAGUCUUCCUCAUGUGCAUCAUGUUGAUUGCAGAGCGGAUCUCUAGGUCUGUACAAUAAGGUAGGUCCCAAAAUAUAGACUUCUUCCACAUGGGUGUGUUUCCCUCAGCAUCCUUCGGAACAGAUUGUCCGGCAGGGCCCUUUCCAAAGAUUACAUGUAAAUACUUGACCAUAUCAAAUAUAACAUCAUCUAUACGGAGGACAUGCUUCUUUCGGUGAUCUGCCUCACCUUUGUAAUGCUUGCCUUUCUUUCUUGAGUGAUGCCUGCUCGGAGCAAAUGGAAGAUGUCCCAGGUACACAUUCUUCUUACAUUUGUCCAAAUACAUACUUUCAGUCUCAGCUAAACAGUGUGUGCCGAUGACGAGAUGAUGUAUAUACUUCUCGCUCCUCGUUGGUUACCCCAAGUGGAAGGUUGAGAUGUAGUGAGCAGCAAGUUUUCCCUCACACAAAGACUGUAAGAUUUAUCGAACCAGGAGGGCUCCUAGGAUCAACAAGUAGGUGUCUUCCACCCUUGCGCUA